GCCAAGGUCGUCCAAGGAGCAAGUGUGCCACAUGCAUUGGGACUACAUCACACCAUACUUCAUCCUCAUAAUUGCCAAGUUUAAAAGUGACCAAGGACUGUUUCGUAACUUUAACUUCGGAACAUUCAUUAAGCCACUGAAGGUGAUAUGGCUUAGGGUGUUCGGUGCAAGGCAACUUUAAAGAAUCAACCAAAUAGCUACUCACCACAUUUGAGCAACUACCACUAUCAAUAAUGAGUGAACAUAAGUUACUUUUAAUAAAACACCGAGAAUGGAAAAUAUUGGCCCUUUGGCUAUCAUCAUCUUUCAUCUGAAUGUUAAGGGUUCGACGAACUACAAGGCAUUAAAAAUUAGCAAAGUCCCCUUCCUUUGGUGGUUCGACCAACUCGUCGCCAUUAUCACUGUCAUCCACAAGUUCUGGCAUAUCUGGAUCUGUAUUAUCAGAGUCGGAAGUGUACUCACCGUUAUCUUUUAGAAGAAGUAAUCUCGUGUUAGGGAAUUCUCUACUAUAAUGACCACGCCCUUUGCACUUAAAGCAUUCAAUCUCACGAGUCCUCUUCGCACUCGAAUCACCUAAAUUGGGCUGCUUAGAAGGUGUUUGCGUUUUAGCAGGAGCCCCUUUUUUCCAAUCUGAUUGUUUACUUCCAUUACUCAAAGAAGACUUGUUAGUAACAAAAGGUGGUUUUGAACUCUUAAAAUCAGAAUUGGAAUUGUUACCUCGAUAAUAUUGUGAAGUAGAGAAGGACCCAAACCUUUGUUCCUUUAAUUGUUGCUCGAUCUCAAUGGCUUUGUGAACUGCUUCUUCCAAAUCAAUGUAAGUUUGUAGCCUCAAUGUAUUAGCUAUCGGCCUGUUCAAACCAUCAAUGAAUCGAACCAUAGUUGUUUCUUCAUCUUCCUCCACAUUAGCUCUCUGAAUGAGCAUCUCCAUCUCUUUAAAAUAUUCAUCCACCGUCCUACUACCUUGGAUAAGUCUUCUCAACUUUGUUUUAAUUUCUCUAUAGUAGUGAGGUGGAAUAAACCUUUUACGCAUAAUCUGUUUCAACUCAUCCCAUGUCGAAAUCUCACCUUCAUAAUUCCGAUGGCGGUUUACCCCAAGUUGAGUCCACCAACUUAAUGCAUAAUCAGAAAAUUCCAGUGUUGCUAACGCUACAUCAUCCGGACAUUUAUAAUACCGAAACAUGAGUUCAAUCUUAGAUUCCCAUUCACAAUAAGCAUCAGGAUCAUUCUUACCACGAAAUUGGGGAAUUGUGAAUUUCGGUUUUGCCAAAGAAGGUUGUCCAUGAUCAUGAAAAUCAUCAUCCAUUCUAGGGACACGUCGAGGGUCGCGCCUAUGGGGCUGGUUAUUCCUAUCUUCCCUGGUUGGAUCUCGAUAUUGAAGUUCUUGAUUCAUUCGUACCUCAUUCAAAGUAGUAUUCAAUGCUUGAAGGGUAGCAUUUAUUUGUGUGAUUGCAGCAGCGUGUCCUUCUAACUGUUGUUGGACUUCCAUAAGUGUAUCAUUAUGGUCAUCUUUAGACAUCUUCCACAAAAGCUGCAAAAAUAAACACUCAACACUCAAAAAUAAAAGUUAGCAAACCUCAUCGUUAGUCACUCAAAAAGAAAAUUCAAAUUCUCAAUGAGGUAGAAUUCAAUCUUGUGAGUUCUUUAUCAGAGUUUAUAUCAACCAAUUAGAGAGUAUGAACCAAACUACCAAAGAAUCCUAAUUUGCACUAGGAUGCCAAAAACUGACGAGACACCAAUUGAUUCGUGUUGCACCGAGGAAGAAGUUGUGCACACGUGUAAAUCCUACUAACACAAGAAACAAGAAGGUGUUAGAUAACGUAACAGAAGAAUAAAAAGCAAACAAAUGAAAACCUACAGCUAAGAAUCAAUAAAAAUUGCUAAAACCAGAAAACCCGAAAAAACUGCAGAGUAACUUGACAACUUCGUUCGAGGUGUUCCCGAUCUCCAAAAAUCACGAAAUUAAAUCUGGAGUGUCCUUAUAUAUUGAAUUUUUGAUCUGGAAAGUUUGGGCACCAAAAUCAACCCGCUGAAUAUUUUUUAAAAUUUUUAUUGGAUUUCGUCUUUUUUCGAUUUUUUGACUUUUUUGACUGAUGUUUUUGCGGGAAUAAUUUUUUUUAUAUUCAAUAACAGUGCAAAAAAUAUGUAUGUAAAAUUUCAGAUCAAUUGGACAUCGUUUACCCUCUUAAAUGAAUUUUUUUCGAACAAUUUUUCUGGGUAAAACUGCUGUUUUUGCUUUAAAAAAUUGAGAUCAGUUUAGAAAUCAACCAAGAACACCCAAAACGCCCAAAAUCUGAUACCAAAGAUAUAGGGUUGCGCGUGGACCAAGAUCGAGUUGCCAAGUCAUGAGAAACUCUUACGAAAGCUCUAAUCGAACAGAUCUGAAAUCAAAACAAAGAAUAAGAUUAAAAACAAAUCAGAUCUGGAAAUUAAGAUCCCCAAAACAAUCAAGAACAGCCAAGAAUCAAAGAUCUUAUGAAUAGAUGUUUUUGGAAUGCAAAAACACGAAAUCGAUCUCCAAGAUUGAUUUUCAACAAGCCGAAUCUGUCCAAGAACUAAACCGAUGAAUAAAGCCCCAAAUUCCAGCAACUUGAUUUUUCCCAAAAUUCCAGCAACCUAAAACAGUCAGUUUUGACAAGAAGAAUUCGACAAGAUUAAUUGGAAAAGAUAAGUUUAGUCGAAUUUGGCUACCAAGAAUGAGUACCGAUCGAUCUUUUUGAGUAAUAAAGAUGGCUGGAAAUUCACAAGAAGAAUAAACAAAUUAGAUCAAAAGAAUCGGCAUAAACAGAAUUUAAAAGAAAAGAAUGAACAGCAAGAAAGUAAAUUGAAGUCCUAAAGAUCCUUGAAAUCCCGAAAGAUUUCACAAAUCUCUUCAAACGGCUCUAAUCUCCCCUCCAACGAAUAUCGGUGGCAAGAAGAAGGUUGAAGAUGGCUCCCACAAUCCAAAGAUUGUUAAAACAACUUCUAAAGAAAACUCAAGAGAGAAUUCUUGGAGAAAACCCCAAAGAAAAUUCUACACUCAACAAAUCUAAAAUUUGAUAGAAAAAUAAUAAUAAGAUGUGUUUACAAAGGGUGGCUGGCCAAUGCUUAUAUAGGCCUCCAACAAAUCCUAAUCUCAUAAGUAACUAAUAAAAAUUAAACCUAAUUAAUAAAAUAACAAGGUAAAUUCGGCCAUGCACUUAUAUGGGCUGUUUUGGGCCGAAUUUUACAUGUAAUGCUCUUAAAGAUUAAAAAAUUAAAUUAAACAAGUAAGAUGUUUACAAAUUGGGCCCUUUGACAUUUUGGCCUGAUUUUCAACUAAGUAUGAAGAAAUUUCUUGAUUGGGCUAAAUUUUGGUUAUUGGGCCUCGCCUUCAAGAAUUUGGGCUCGUGAUCCAUCUCCUACCAAAAUUGGGUCGUUGACGCUCGUAAUGGAGAUCCAAUGCGUUUUGGCUGCAAGAUUUGGUUUCUUGGACCAAGAUUUCCAAGAUUUGAAAUCUUGAUUUUCUUGAUUCUUGAAAUCUCUUCGAACAUCAAAAUUGGGUCAAGAUUCGGUUUCUUGAUUUUCUUGAAAACAAGAAAGUGAAUCUUGAUUUUCUUGUUCUCUCGUGUAUGCAUCUAAGGCCUUGCUAACAAGCUCUUGAAUGGUCCCAUUUAGUUUGGACCGCAUUUGUCGGGCCUUUGAUCUUGUUAUUGGGCCUUGUGGCAAUUUGAACCCAUCACGUUCUUGAACUUGGAUUGGGCCUUUAUGACACGUAUCAUUUCUGCUCUAAUAAAGUGGUUUUUCUUGGUUUUGUAGUUAGCUCGGAAGGACUCGAGGUGGACCAUGAAAAGAUUAAGGCAAUACAAGAGUGGCCGAGAUCAACGAGUAUCAGCCAAGUUAGAAGCUUCCAUGGAUUGGCAAGCUUUUAUCGACGUUUUGUGCCUAAUUUUAGCACUUUGGCCGCACCAUUGACGAGUGUAAUCAAGAAAAAUUCCACCUUCUAUUGGGGUGAUGAACAAGAGAAAGCUUUCGCUAUUAUUAAGGAUUGUCUUACUAACGCCCCAUUGUUAACCCUACCUGACUUUUCUAAAACAUUUGAAAUUGAGUGUGAUGCGUCAGGUGUGGGGAUAGGUGCUAUGUUGACACAAGACGGGAAACCGAUUGCUUAUUUUAGCGAAAAGCUGAACGGAGCUGUGUUGAAAUACCCCAUGUAUGAUAAGGAGAUGUAUGCUCUCAUUUGGGCCCUUGAAACAUGGCAACAUUACCUGUGGCCGAAAGAAUUCGUGAUUCAUUCUGAUCACGAGGCGCUUAAACAUAUUAAAGGCCAACACAAAUUGAACAAAAGGCAUGCCAAGUGGGUCGAAUACCUAGAGUCAUUUCCCUAUGUCAUUAAGCAUAAAAAAGGUAAAGAAAACAUAGUGGCCGAUGCAUUAUCAAGAAGGUAUACGCUUCUAUCACAUCUAGAUUCAAAAUUAGUUGGCUUUGUGUUUUUGAAAGAUUUAUACGCUACUGACAAUGAUUUUGGUGAAAUAUAUGUUUCUUGUGAGAAUGUGGUUGUUGAUAGGUUUUAUCGACAAGACGGCUUUCUUUUUAAAGAAGGGAAGUUGUGUGCCCCACAAGGUUCCGUUAGGGAAUUAUUAGUGAACAAGGCACAUAGUGGGGGCCUCAUGGGCCAUUUUGGUGUGGGCAAGACAUUGGCUACACUCCAAGAACAUUUUUAUUGGCCAAAAAUGAAGCGGGAUGUUGAACGCGUUUGUGAUCGGUGUCUGACAUGCAAGAGAGCCAAAUCCACAACCAAGCCGCAUGGACUAUAUACACCGCUUCCAAUUCCUGAAGGUCCUUGGAUGGAUAUAUCAAUGGAUUUCGUCCUUGGUUUACCUAGGUCAAAGACGGGGAAGGAUUCCAGAUUUGUCGUCGUUGAUCGUUUUUCUAAAAUGUCACAUUUUAUAGCUUGCACAAAAACUGAUGACGCUGUUCAUGUUUCUAAUUUAUUUUUCAGAGAAGUCGUCCGUCUACAUGGAAUUCCUCGAACGAUAGUGUCGGAUCGCGAUGCAAAGUUCUUGAGUCAUUUUUGGCGAUCAUUGUGGGGAAGGCUAGGAACUAAACUCUUAUUUUCAACUACUUGCCAUCCUCAAAUCGAUGGCCAAACUGAGGUGGUCAACCGCGUUCUAUCAACGUUGCUUAGGGCUAUCAUUCGAAAGAAUUUAAAAUCUUGGGAGGAAUGCUUACCACAUGUCGAAUUUGCCUAUAAUCGCUCCAUACAUUCGGCGACUAAAUAUUCCCCUUUCAAAAUUGUUUAUGGCUUCAACCCUUUAACGCCAUUAGAUUUAGUUCCUCUUCCUAACAAACAAUUUGUUCAUGCAGAUGCUAAAAAGAAAGCUGAAUUCGUGAAGAAUUUACAUGAGAAAGUGAGGUCCAAUAUUGAAGCGAGGACCAAGAUUUAUGCCCAGAAAGCAAACAAGGGUCGGAAACAAGUUGUUUUUGAACCCGGAGACUGGGUCUGGGUACACAUGAGGAAGGAAAGAUUUCCAGCUCAUAGAAGAUCCAAGGUACUUCCUCGGGGGAAUGGACCAUUUCAAGUGUUGGAACGCAUAAACGAUAAUUCAUAUAAACUUGAUCUGCGUGGUGAUUAUAAUAUUAGUGCUAGUUUCAAUGUUGCUGAUCUAACUCCUUUUGAUGUAGAUUCCGACUUGAGGACAAGUUGUUUUGAAGACGGGGGAAUGAUGCGGCCAUGACGCGAAGUGUGCCAAAAACAAGCAAAGAUCCUCAAAUACUUCCUCAAGGCCCGAUCACUCGAGCUCGGGCAAAGCAAUUUAAGGAAGCCAUUUCGGCUUUAGUGGAGCAAGUUUGGAGCGACAUUUUAGCUGUGCAAUUUAAGGUUGGCCGAACGUGGAAGGGAGCAUUUAAGUUAGAUGCAUGCACAAUAGGUUCAAUGAAUUUGGUGAUACAUGCAUGAUGAAUGUUCAGCUGAUUUCAUUAUUCCAAGAACCAGCAUAAUGCCGUUCACACAUGGAGUUCACACUCAUGGCUUUUCGGUUUGGAAUGUUCACACCAUAGGACUUUUCAAAAUUGAGUGUUCACACUUCAUUUGGCCAUUCAAGUCCCUUUUAAUUGCUGGUCACUUUUCAGCAAAAGCUACAAAUUAAAUGAGCUUAUUUAUGCACAUUGAUCGAAUCUAGCUCAUCCAUGCACCAUUCAAGUUGUCCAAGGUUCAAUGUGAAUUCUAGAAGCUUUCCAAGUUCAGCCGAACCUAGCCAAGCCAUUGAAGAAUUCAUUAGCUUAAUUUUUAAGAAAAUGUAUGUGACUAUUCGGCUAACUUAGUUGCUGAUUAUAAAUAGCUGAAAUUUCAUUUUGUAAAGAACUUUUUGACAUUUUAAGUAACGAAUUGCUGCCAAAUUUGUGAGGCAUUUUCUCUCAAAUUUCGUUCGAGACCCGUAAGACUUAUCUAGCUUCUAGUGGCGUCUUUCUGAGUCUUUCUUUCGAACUUAUCACUCCCUAACCCAAGUGUGGCGUUCACCUUUGAUACCUUUGGUUCAUACUUUACUAAGUAUCAGGUCAAGGUCCUUAUCAACCAUUUCCAACUCAAUUUGGUCCUAUAAGUUUCAGGUCGACACUUUUUGAUACGAGUCAUAAAUGCCCAAUCCAAGUUCAAGAACGUGAUGGGCUCACAUUUCCACAAGGCCCAAUAACGAGAUCAAAGGCCCGAAAAAUGCGGUCCAAACUAAAUGGGACCAUUCAAGAGAUUGUUAGCAAGUUCUUAGAUGCAUACAUGAUACAAGUCAUAAAGGCCCAAUCCAAGUUCAAGAACGUGACGGGCUCAAAUUGCCGCAAGGCCCAAUAACGAGAUCAAAGGCCCGACAAAUGCGGUCCAAACUAAAUGGGACCAUUCAAGAGCUUGUUAGCAAGGCCUUAGAUGCAUACACGAGAGAACAAGAAAAUCAAGAUUCACUUUCUUGUUUUCAAGAAAAUCAAGAAACCAAAUCUUGGCCCAAUUUUGCUGUUCGAAGAGAUUUCAAGAAUCAAGAAAAUUAAGAUUUCAAAUCUUGGAAAUCUUGGUCCAAGAAACCAAAUCUUGCAGCCAAAACGCAUUGGAUCUCCAUUACGAGCGUCAACGACCAAAUUUUGGUAGGAGAUGGAUCACGAGCCCAAAUUCUUGAAGGCGAGGCCCAAUAACCAAAUCCAGCCCAAUCAAGAAAUUUCUUCAUACUUAGUUGAAAAUCAGGCCAAAAUGUCAAAGGGCCCAAUUUGUAAACAUCUUACUUGUUUAAUUUAAUUUUUUAAUCUUUAGGAGCAUUACAUGUAAAAUUCGGCCCAAAACAGCCCAUAUAAGUGCAUGGCCGAAUUUACCUUGUUAUUUUAUUAAUUAGGUUUAAUUUUUUAUUAGUUACUUGUGAGAUUAGGAUUUGUUGGAGGCCUAUAUAAGCAUUGGCCAGCCACCCUUUGUAAACACAUCUUAUUAUUAUUUUUCUAUCAAAUUUUAGAUUUGUUGAGUGUAGAAUUUUCUUUGGGGUUUUCUCCAAGAAUUCUCUCUUGAGUUUUCUUUAGAAGUUGUUUUAACAAUCUUUGGAUUGUGGGAACCAUCUUCAACCUUCUUCUUGCCAUCGAUAUUCGUUGGAGGGGAGAUUAGAGCCGUUUGAAGAGAUUUGUGAAAUCUUUCGGGAUUUCAAGGAUCUUUAGGACUUCAGUUUACUUUCUUGCUGUUCAUUCUUUUCUUUUAAAUUCUGUUUAUGCCGAUUCUUUUGAUCUAACUUGUUUAUUUUUCUUGUGAAUUUCCAGCCAUCUUUAUUACUCAAAAAGAUCGUUCGGUACUCAUUCUUGGUAGCCAAAUUCGACUAAACUUAUCUUUUCCAAUUAAUCUUGUCGAAUUCUUCUUGUCAAAACUGACUGUUUUAGGUUGCUAGAAUUUUGGGAAAAAUCAAGCUGCUGGAAUUUGGGGCUUUAUUCAUCGGUUUAGUUCUUGGACAGAUUCGGCUUGUUGAAAAUCAAUCUUGGAGAUCGAUUUCGUGUUUUUGCAUUCCGAAAACAUCUAUUCAUAAGAUCUUUGAUUCUUGGCUGUUCUUGAUUGUUUUGGGGAUCUUAAUUUCCAGAUCUGAUUUGUUUUUAAUCUUAUUCUUUGUUUUGAUUUCAGAUCUGUUCGAUUGGAGCUUUCGUAGGAGUUUCUCGUGACUUGGCAACUCGAUCUUGGUCCGCGCGCCUCCGUACCAUUUGGUAUCAGAUUUUGGGCGUUUUGGGUGUUCUUGGUUGAUUUCUAAACUGAUCUCUAUUUUUUAAAGCACAAACAGCUGUUUUACCCAGAAAAAUUGUUUGAAAAAAAUUCAUUUGAUUGGGUAAACAUUGUCCAAUUGAUCUGAAAUUUUACAUACAUAUUUUUGGCACUGUUAUAGAAUAUAAAAAAAUUAAUCCGGAAAAAAAAUCAGUCAAAAAAGUCAAAAAAAUCAAAAAACACAAAAUUCAAUAAAAAUUUAAAAAAAGAUUCAGCGGGUUGAAUUUGGUGCCAAAAAUUUUCAGAUCUAAAAUUCAAUAUAUAAGGACAUUCCAUAUUUAAUUUCGUGAUUUUUGGAGAUCGGGAACACCUCAAACGAAGUUGUCAAGUUACUCCGUAGUUUUUUCGGGUUUUCUAUUUUCAGCAAUUUUUAUUGAUUCUUAGCUGUAGGUUUUCAUUUGUUUGCUUUUUAUUCUCCUUUUACAAUAUCUAACACCUUCUUGUUUCUUGUGUUAGUAGGAUUUAAACGUGUGCACAAUCCUUCCUCGGUGCAACACGAAUCACUUGGUGUCUCGUCAGUUUUUGGCAUCCUAGUGCAAAUUAGGAUUCUUUGGUAGUUUGGUUCACACUCUCUAAUUUGUUGAUAUAAACUCUGAUAAAGAACUCAAAAGAUUGAAUUCGACCUCAUUGAGAAUUUGAUUUUUCUUUUUGAGUGAUUAAUGGUGAGGUUUGCUAACUUUUAUUUUUGAGUGUUGAGUGUUUAUUUUUUACAAUUUUGAAGAUGUCUAAAGGUGAUAAUAAUGAUGCACUUAUGAAAGUCCAACAACAGUUAGACGGACAUACUGCUGCAAUCACACAAAUAAAUGCUACACUUCAAGCAUUGAAUACUACUUUGAAUGAGGUACGAGUGAAUCAAAAACAUCAAUAUCGAGAUCCAAUUAAGGAAGAUAGGGAUAACCAGCCCCAUAGGUGCAGCCCUCAACGUGUCCCUAGAAUGGAUGAUGAUUUUCAUGAUCGUGGACAAUCAUCUUUGGCAAAACCAAAGAGCGAGCAGCAACGAGAACAUCUCUUUCAUACUCACUGCCAUGUACAAGGUAAGCUUUGUAGAGUUAUUAUUGAUGGUGAAAGUUGCUCAAACAUAGCCAGCACGACGAUGGUGGAAAAGCUUUGCUUAACCACUACCAAGCAUCCACAACCUUAUCAACUACAAGGGCUUAGCAACGAAGGCCAAUUUAGGGUCACUCAACAAGUGUGCAUCGCCUUUUCUAUCGGUAAGUAUCAAGACAAAGUUGUGUGCGACGUAAUGCCUAUUCAAGCCUGCCAUUUGUUGCUAGGAGAACCAUGGCAACUGGAUCGAAAAGUCACUCACGAUGGUCGUACCAAUAGGUAUUCUUUCAAACAUCAAGGAAAGAAACUCACCUUAGUGCCGCUCACUCUGAAACAAGUCCAUGAGGACCAAAUCAAACUGAAAAAUUAUGUUAAAACAAGUGAGGAAAAAGAAAAGGAGAAUGAAAAAGAGCAAAAAGAGAUUGAGAGUGAAAAAGAAAUUGAAGAAAGAAGAGAAAAUGAAUUAGAAAAAGAAACAAAAGAAAAAGACGUGGAAAGGGUAGUGAGGAAUGUUUCCACUAACCAAGAUAUGAAUUUUUCUUGUGUUGCUACUUUUCAGGUUCCCGAAAGAUCGAAAGAUAACUUUCAACUUCAAUACCUCUCAAAUUAAAGACGCUUUCAUACGAUCAACUUAGGCAAAGAUGAAAUCACACUACAUGAUCCCGAAGUGAUGCAACCUUAGCCUGAGAAAUUACUACCGAAUCCAUUGAGCUACCACGAGGACCAAUAACUCGAUCACGAGCUAAGAGAUUUUGAAAUGCAAUAGCAAGCUAUAUGGAACGAGCUUGGGAAGAGGGAGUGGCCGGAUUUGAUAGUCGUGCUUCAAACCGUUCAAAAGGCGUUACUUGCAAUUUAUUGCAAGCUGAAUUUGUUUCUUUUAAUUAACUUGUUUUAGUUUAAUAAAUAAGUUGCUGAUCAAUUAAUUUAACUUAUCUUAAAGUUUUAAUACAUGAGUUAGCUAUUGAACUUUAUUAAAUAAGAUGCUUCUUAAUUGAUCUAGUUCCUAGGAUUAUUUAUUGAUGCAUAAAUUAAGUUCUUUAAAUUAUGCUUCUUUAAUUAAACUAGUUGCUGGAAUAAUUAUUGCAUAUAUGUUUUAGUUCAUUUAUUUAAGUAAGUUUAAUAUGUGUUAUGAUUAAUAAGUGUUUUAAUGUGUUUAAUAAACUCAUUUUAAUGUGUUUAUUGCAGGUGACUUUUUAGCUUAUAGUGGUUACAAUUCAAGGCUGUUACACAUUUAAUAAGUGGCUGUUCAAGUUCUUUUGAGUUACAAUUAAAGGGGCUGUUAAAAAAAGGAGCUUAAAGAUCAUUAAAAGGAGUUUUUAAAGAGCAUUUUACGCCCUUUAAAAUUCAGCAGCAACUCUUCCACUUCCAGCCAUUUUUGGAGCUUUUAAGAGAAAUUAAUCAAGCCUUUGAAUGUCAUUAAGGAGCUGGUAAGAGAUGGUGUCUAUUCAACUAGCCAAAGACAACUAAAGAGUCAUUUUCUAAGCCAUUAAAGACAUUCAAAUCAGCUGAAUUAAAGUGAUUUUAUGGAAGGAGUUAUUUGGUUCAAAGAAUAAGAAAAGACAUCAGUUUUUUAUGGCACAUUAAGUGGAUGUUUUUGACCAUUCGGUUACCUUGUUCUAGCAUUAUAAAUAGAUGUAAUCAGCCAUAGAGGGAACAACUUUUUGCUGAAUAUAGAUGAAAUAUUUGAAUUGUGAGCUAUCCAAUUCUCUUUGUUCUUUCGGAAUUGAUUUGACUUAUCAAGCAUAGCUUGUGGUGUCCAUCUUUUCUUUGUUGCUGAACUUAUCACCUUUGGUGUGGCAUUCAAUAUACCUUUGGUUCCUAUCAUAGUUGAUAGUGGGUCAAGGUUCCUUUCCUGUUUCCUUUAAUCGAAAACACCUAAAGACCAUUUUGAGAUUCGGGUCAACAAUUCGUUAUUGUUGGUUCAUUUUCGGUCUUAGCCAAUUAAUUUGUUAUUGUUUCCUCUUUAUUUUGUUUAUUACCUUUGUUUGAAGCCAUUAUCUCUAUUUUGUUUCAUUUUAAAACCGAAACGAAUCCAUCCUUACUCAAUUCACGAUUGGGCAACACAUACGACUCAAAACAUCACGAGACGAGUUCGUAUCAAAUUGGUAUCAGAGCUAGCGAAUUUGGAGUAAGAAUCGACAUUGUCGGCAAUACGGUAUAGUAGUUUCUUCAAAAAAAAUUCAAAAAAAAAAUUCAAAAAAAAUUCAAAAAAAAAAUUUGGUUUCCAUUCAAACUCAAGAGAUUGGAUAUCAAGUUGAAAAAAAAAAUUCGUGAAAAAAAAAUUCGCGAAAAAAAAAAUUUCGUGAAAAAAGAAGAAGCUAGUUUUGAAAUUUUGUUGUUGUUUGCUGCCCAAAUUAUAGUUAUUACUACCUUCUACUAUUUCGCCACAUCUAACCUUUCAUUUCUUGAUUCAAGCCUACUUUCCUUUGUCCUACAAUAUUCUUACCAAGCCCAAACAUCAAGGUUAUAAGCCGACCCACAACAACUGCUUUUUAAGUUUAAAUNNNNNNNNNNNNNNNNNNNNNNNNNNNNNNNNNNNNNNNNNNNNNNNNNNNNNNNNNNNNNNNNNNNNNNNNNNNNNNNNNNNNNNNNNNNNNNNNNNNNNNNNNNNNNNNNNNNNNNNNNNNNNNNNNNNNNNNNNNNNNNNNNNNNNNNNNNNNNNNNNNNNNNNNNNNNNNNNNNNNNNNNNNNNNNNNNNNNNNNNNNNNNNNNNNNNNNNNNNNNNNNNNNNNNNNNNNNNNNNNNNNNNNNNNNNNNNNNNNNNNNNNNNNNNNNNNNNNNNNNNNNNNNNNNNNNNNNNNNNNNNNNNNNNNNNNNNNNNNNNNNNNNNNNNNNNNNNNNNNNNNNNNNNNNNNNNNNNNNNNNNNNNNNNNNNNNNNNNNNNNNNNNNNNNNNNNNNNNNNNNNNNNNNNNNNNNNNNNNNNNNNNNNNNNNNNNNNNNNNNNNNNNNNNNNNNNNNNNNNNNNNNNNNNNNNNNNNNNNNNNNNNNNNNNNNNNNNNNNNNGAGAACAACUUAAACGAUGAGAUCUUGAGUUUAAUCAAUGCUGGAAAACAAACAAGAACAGUAAAAUAUUAGAUAUAGAUUCGGCAUCAACAGAAAUAAAGAAAAGAAAUUGAACAGCAAAAAUUAAAAGAUAAGUCCUAAGAAGCCUUGAAAUCUCGAAAGAUCUCACAACUCCCUUCAAACGGCUCUAAUCUCCCCUCCAAAGAAUAUCAAUGGCAAGAAGAAGGUUGAAGAUGGCUCCCACAAUCAAAAGAUUGUUAAAACAACUUCUAAAGAAAACUCAAGAGAGAAUUCUUGGAGAAAACCCCAAAGAAAAUUCUGCACUCAACAAAUCUGAAAUUUGAUAGAAAAAAAUAAUAAUAAGUGUGUUUACAAAGGGUGGCUGGCCAAUGCUUAUAUAGGCCUCCAACAAAUCCUAAUCUCACAAGUAACUAAUAAAAAUUAAACCUAAUUAAUAAAAUAACAAGGUAAAUUUGGCUAUGCACUUAUAUGGGCUGUUUUGGGCCGAAUUUUACAUGUAAUGCUCCUAAAGAUUAAAAAAAUUAAAUUAAACAAGUAAGAUGUUUACAAAUUGGGCCCUUUGACAUUUUGGCCUGAUUUUCAACUAAGUAUGAAGAAAUUUCUUGAUUGGGCUAAAUUUUGGUUAUUGGGCCUCGCCUUCAAGAAUUUGGGCUUGUGAUCCAUCUCCUACCGAAAUUGGGUCGUUGACGCUCGUAAUGGAGAUCCAACGCGCUUUGGCUGCAAGAUUCAGUUUCUUGGACCAAGAUUUCCAAGAUUUGAAAUCUUGAUUUUCUUGAUUCUUGAAAUCACUCCGAACAGCAAAAUUGGGCCAAGAUUCGAUUUCUUGAUUUUCUUGAAAAUAAGAAAGUGAGUCUUGAUUUUCUUGAUUUGAGCCCAUCACCUUCUUAAGCUUGGGUUGGGUCUUUGUGACUCGUAUCAUUCCCCCUUCCUCAAAAAGAUUCGUCCUCGAAUCUAAAAAUCAAAUGAACUCAACUUUCCUCGAUCGAACGGGACUAAUGGCAAUUGAGUCCACUGAAAAGAAUAGCCAUGAAAUAGUAAAUAGCAACACAAACAAGCUUGUAGUCCAAUUAUAAGCAUAAUAGAACAGGUAUAACGCAUGUGAAUGGAUAGAUUCAGAUUACCAUGCAUUAAUCGACGGUCUAUAGAUUCACUCACACAUGCAUUAUCAAAAACAAGAAUCUUUUUAUCAACCAUCAAAAUAGAUUUAUCAUCAAUAAAUAAAAUAGGACAGUCAAGCACGUUUUGAUCUAAGUGUUUAUCAACACGAUCUUUGUCGCUAUCCGAGGAGUACAAAAGUGUUUCAAAGGUUUCAAGCAUCUUACCUUGAUAAGCAAAAGAAUAAUGGUCGAUUUUACCUUUUUCAUUUAAAACAAACCUUCGCUCAUCGGGGGCAUAGUGUAGUCGAAUCUCCGUUGUUGAGUUAACCUUUGUCAAAUGGAACUCAAACUUCAUGUACAACCACAUAAACUGUUUAAGGCACGAAUAUAAAUUGAAAACAAAUUUGGAAAAUUUCGUUACCUUAUUCUCCAAAACAGAUUUGGACAAAUUCGAGGAUUUUACACAAGGUAAAUCAAGAGAAUAACAAAUCACGCUUCUUUUCGUAAUGACUUUAUCCACCACAAUCGAAGAGUAACAAUUAAUCGAAUCAAAAUGAGGGAAUCUUUUAAGAACUAAGUCACCAAAAGUUUUAUCAAUAAUUUUCAAAUCUGCACUGGACUCGGUUUCUAAAAUUUCCUUACCUCGCUUACCUUCGGGAUCAUGUAGUGUGAUUUCAUCUUUGCCUAAGUUGAUCGUAUGAAAGCGUCUUUCAUUUGAGAGGUAUUGAAGUUGAAAGUUAUCUUUCGAUCUUUUGGGAACCUGAAAAGUAGCAACACAAGAAAAAUUCAUAUCUUGGUUAGUGGAAACAUUCCUCACUACCCUUUCUACGUCUUUUUCUUUUGUUUCUUUUUCUAAUUCAUUUUCUCUUCUUUCUUCAAUUUCUUUUUCACUCUCAAUCUCUUUUUGCUCUUUUUCAUUCUCUUUUUCUUUUUCCUCACUUUUUUUAACAGAAUUUUUUAGUUUGAUUUGGUCCUCAUGGACUUGUUCCGGAGUGAGCGGCACUAAGGUGAGUUUCUUUCCUUGAUGCUUGAAAGAAUACCUAUUGGUACGACCAUCGUGAGUGACUUUUUGAUCUUGUUGCCAUGGUUCUCCUAGCAACAAAUGGCAGGCUUGAAUAGGCAUUACGUCGCACACAACUUCGUCUUGAUACUUACCGAUAGAAAAGGCAAUGCGCACUUGUUGAGUGACCCUAAAUUGGCCUUCGUUGCUAAGCCCUUGUAGUUGAUAAGGUUGUGGAUGCUUGGUAGUGGUUAAGCAAAGCUUUUCCACCAUCGUCGUGCUGGCUAUGUUCGAGCAACUUUCACCAUCAAUAAUAACUCUACAAAGCUUACCUUGUACAUGGCAGCGAGUAUGAAAGAGAUGUUCUCGUUGCUGCUCGCUCUUUGGUUUUGCCAAAGAUGAUUGUCCACGAUCAUGAAAAUCAUCAUCCAUUCUAGGGACACGUUGAGGGCUGCACCUAUGGGGCUGGUUAUCCCUAUCUUCCUUAAUUGGAUCUCGAUAUUGAUGUUUUUGAUUCAAUUGCACCUCAUUGAUGGUAGAGUCAAAGCUCGAAGAGUAGCAGCCUGUUCAUCCAACUGUUGUUGGAAUUUUUUAAAUAUGUCACUAUUAUUAUCACCUGUAGACAUUUUUUUUAAAACCUGCAAAACACUCAACACUCAAAAAUAAAAGUUAUCAAACCUCACCGUUAAUCACUCAAAAAGAAAAAAUCAAAUUCUCAAUGAGGUCGAAUUCAAUCUUGUGAGUUCUUUAUCAGAGUUUAUAUCAACCAAUUAGAGAGUGUGAACCAAACUACCAAAGAAUCCUAAUUUGCACUAGGAUGCCAAAAACUGACGAGACACCAAUUGAUUCGUGUUGCACCGAGGAAGAAGUUGUGCACACGUUUAAAUCCUACUAACACAAGAAACAAGAAGGUGUUAGAUAACGUAAAGGAAGAAUAAAGGUAAACAAAUGAAAACCUACAGCUAAGAAUCAAUAAAAAUUGCUGAAAACAGAAAACCCAAAAAACUGCGGAGUAACUUGACAACUUCGUUCGAGGUGUUCCUGAUCUCCAAAAAUCACGAAAUUAAAUCUGGAGUGUCCUUAUAUAUUUAAUUUUUGAUCUGGAAAUUUUGGGCACCAAAUUCAACCCGCUGAAUCUUUUUUUAAAUUUUUAUUGAAUUUCGUAUUUUUUUGAUUUUUUGACUUUUUUGACUGAUUUUUUUGCGGGAAUAAUUUUUUUUAUAUUCAAUCACAGUGCCAAAAACAUGUAUGUAAAAUUUCAGAUCAAUAGGACAACGUUUACCCACUCAAAUGAAUUUUUUUUGAACAAUUUUUCUGGGUAAAACUGCUGUUUAUGCUUUAAAAAUAGAGAUCAGUUUAGAAAUCAACCAAGAACACCCAAAAUGCCCAAAAUCUGAUACCAAAUGAUAUAGGGUUGCGCGCGGACCAAGAUCGAGUUGCCAAGUCACGAGAAACUCCUACAAAAGAUCCUAGAAGAACAGAUCUGAAAUCAAAAACAAAGAACAAGAUUAAACCGAAUCAGAUUUGAAUUUAAAAUUCCCAAAUUCAAUUAAAAGAGCAGCAAGAAGAAAAGAAAUAGAAUCGAUGAAUCAAACGAAAUUGAGAAGAAAGAAAAGAUGCGAAUCUGCCAAGGGAUUGAUUCGGCCAAGAAUGCCCAAUUUCCAGCAAUCAAUUGAUUCCCAAAUUGAAAGAAAUCCAAUCGGCCAAACUCUAGGAAUUGGGGAUUUUUGGGUUCGAAUGGGUGCUGCCAAUAGGAGAACAACUUAAACGAUGAGAUCUUGAGUUUAAUCAAUGCUGGAAAACAAACAAGAACAGCAAAAUAUUAGAUAUAGAUUCGGCAUCAACAGAAAUAAAGAAAAGAAAUUGAACAGCAAAAAUUAAAAGAUAAGUCCUAAGAAGCCUUGAAAUCUCGAAAGAUCUCACAACUCCCUUCAAACGGCUCUAAUCUCCCCUCCAAAGAAUAUCAAUGGCAAGAAGAAGGUUGAAGAUGGCUCCCACAAUCAAAAGAUUGUUAAAACAACUUCUAAAGAACACUUAAGAGAGAAUUCUUGGAGAAAACCCCAAAGAAAAUUCUGCACUCAACAAAUCUGAAAUUUGAUAGAAAAAAAUAAUAAUAAGAUGUGUUUACAAAGGGUGGCUGGCCAAUGCUUAUAUAGGCCUCCAAGAAAUCCUAAUCUCACAAGUAACUAAUAAAAAUUAAACCUAAUUAAUAAAAUAACAAGGUAAAUUCGGCUAUGCACUUAUAUGGGCUGUUUUGGGCCGAAUUUUACAUGUAAUGCUCCUAAUGAUUAAAAAAAUUAAAUUAAACAAGUAAGAUGUUUACAAAUUGGGCCCUUUGACAUUUUGGCCUGAUUUUCAACUAAGUAUGAAGAAAUUUCUUGAUUGGGCUAAAUUUUGGUUAUUGGGCCUCGCCUUCAAGAAUUUGGGCUUGUGAUCCAUCUCCUACCGAAAUUGGGUCGUUGACGCUCGUAAUGGAGAUCCAACGCGCUUUGGCUGCAAGAUUCGGUUUCUUGGACCAAGAUUUCCAAGAUUUGAAAUCUUGAUUUUCUUGAUUCUUGAAAUCGCUCCGAAUAGCAAAAUUGGGCCAAGAUUUGAUUUCUUGAUUUUCUUGAAAAUAAGAAAGUGAAUCUUGAUUUUCUUGAUUUGAGCCCAUCACCUUCUUAAGCUUGGGUUGGGCCUUUGUGACUCGUAUCAUUCAGCAAAAAGUUGUUCCCUCUAUGGCUGAUUACAUCUAUUUAUAAUGCUAGAACAAGGUAACCGAAUGGUCAAAAACAUCCACUUAAUGUGCCAUAAAAAACUGAUGUCUUUUCUUAUUCUUUGAACCAAAUAACUCCUUCCAUAAAAUCACUUUAAUUCAGCUGAUUUGAAUGUCUUUAAUGGCUUAGAAAAUGACUCUUGAGUUGUCCUUGGCUAGUUGAAUAGACACCAUCUCUUACCAGCUCCUUAAUGACAUUCAAAGGCUUGAUUAAUUUCUCUUAAAAGCUCCAAAAACGGCUGGAAGUGGAAGAGUUGCUGCUGAAUUUUAAAGGGCAUAAAAUGCUCUUUAAAAACUCCUUUUAAUGAUCUUUAAGCUCUUUUUUUAACAGCCCCUUUAAUUGUAACUCAAAAGAACUUGAACAGCCACUUAUUAAAUGUGUAACAGCCUUGAAUUGUAACCACUAUAAGCUAAAAAGUCACCUGCAAUAAACACAUUAAAAUGAGUUUAUUAAACACAUUAAAACACUUAUUAAUCAUAACACAUAUUAAACUUACUUAAAUAAAUGAACUAAAACAUAUAUGCAAUAAUUAUUCCAGCAACUAGUUUAAUUAAAGAAGCAUAAUUUAAAGAACUUAAUUUAUGCAUCAAUAAAUAAUCCUAGGAACUAGAUCAAUUAAGAAGCAUCUUAUUUAAUAAAGUUCAAUAACUAACUCAUGUAUUAAAACUUUAAGAUAAGUUAAAUUAAUUGAUCAGCAACUUAUUUAUUAAACUAAAACAAGUUAAUUAAAAGAAACAAAUUCAGCUUGCAAUAAAUUGCAAGUAACGCCUUUUGAACGGUUUGAAGCACGACUAUCAAAUCCGGCCACUCCCUCUUCCCAAGCUCGUUCCACAUAGCUUGCUAUUUCAUUUCAAAAUCUCUUAGCUCGUGAUUGAGUUAUUGGUCAUCAUGGCAGCUCAAUGGAUUCGGUAGUAAUUUCCCGGGCUAAGGUUGCAUCAGAUCGAGAUACAAAAUUUUUGAGUCAUUUCUGGAGAACACUUUGGGGAAAGUUAGGCACAAAGCUUUUGUUCUCGACCACUUGCCAUCCUCAAACGGACGGGAAAACCGAAGUAGUGAAUCGAGUCUUGUCGACGUUGUUACGAGCCAUCAUUCGAAAGAACCUCAAAACAUGGGAGGAGUGCCUACCGCACAUAGAGUUUGCAUAAAACCGUUCUAUUCAUUCGGCAACUCAACAUUCUCCCUUUGAAAUCGUCUAUGGAUUCAAUCCUUUGACACCACUAGAUUUAAUUCCAUUGCCUAAUGAACAAAUUGUGAAUGCAGAUGCAAAAUGAAAGGCUGAAUUUGUGAAGGACUUACACCAAAAGGUGUGAAAGAACAUUGAAGAAAGGACUAGGAAAUAUGCGCAAAAAGCCAAUAAAGGUCGAAAGCGAAUCAUCUUUGAGCCUGGAGACUGGGUUUGGGUACACAUGAGGAAAGAAAGUGAUACGACCCUGCCCCGAAAACAUCCUUGGUUCAGUUCAUCAGGUGACAAUUGCAAAUUCUUGCAAGUUGAUCGAGAUUGUUUCAGUUCAAUGGAGCUCAAAUUCGAUCUAAUUUCAGCUCAUUAAAUUUGAACUUCAAUUUAUUUUAACUUAUGCUUUUAAAUAGUUGCUGGAAUAAAUUAAGUUCAUUAGUUAGUUUAUUAAUUUCAGCAUGCACAUGAUUUAAUUUGGGUCUAAUAAUUUUUAUAUUAAAUUUGCUUUAUUUUGAUACGACCACGUCUCGGGCACACUUUUGGACCAGCUCCCUAAGUAUUGUUUGCAAAUCCAUGCGAGCUGAAUUAGUUCAAUUCCUUCUCGUUGAGCUUCGUUUAGCUCGUUUCCAGCUCACUUGAGCUCAAGUCAGCUCAUUCGAGCUCAAUUCAGCUCAAUCUUAACCCAAUGAGCUUAUUUUUAACUUUCUAUAGUUUGCCUUUAUUUUGCUGAAAUAAACCAUUUAAUUUGUCUUUAGUUGAAUUAGUUGUUUAUUUUAAGUUAAUUAAUUUCUUAAAAUCUGGACAAAUAAUUAAUUAAGUGUUUUAAUUAUAUCUAAAUUAAAUACUUAAUUAAUUAUGAUGUUUUAAAUAUGUCUGAAUUUGUUAAUAUGUAUGGCCGAAUUUAAUGUGCAAAUUAUUGAGUUCAUAUGCUGCUAAUUUAAUGUGUCUGAAAUGCAUUUAACUUGCUGAUGUUAUUUGCUGCAGGUUCAUGAACGGAUUGGUGCAAUGUAUGGGAGUGUGCAUGCACAAUUGAGGUUCAACGGAUGGCAUUUAAAGUAGCACAUGCAUUUGGGACGUUCAUGCAAGAGGGAGUUGUUGAAAGUUCAUGUAUUUGAAGAUUCAUGGAUCAUAUUUAUGGGGGAAAGUACAUGGGACGUUUCAUGCAUGAUUCAUGCAUUUUCAAGAUGACCAUUCAAGUAUUUUAGGCACAUUAAUGCCUCAUUCAGCCAAGGGAGAUGUAGGAUCAUUAAAGGGCUGCACAUUCAUUGAAUUAUGGAGAUUCUUCAAGGUUAAAGAUGCAUGAAUGCAUCAAGUGAAGCAACAUGAUGAUUCGGUCAAUCCAUGCAUCAUCUCCAAACAUGAACGGAAAUUUUAAUGCUUCAUUCAUGCACAUUUAGCUGAAUUCAGCUACAGCAAAUUAAUGAUUUCUUUCUAGAAAUUUCUAACAUAUUCAUGGCUGAAUUCUUAGCCAUUAAGUUGCCCAUUCAGCUAGCUUAGUCUUGGCCUAUAAAUAGCUUACUUGUUUAUUGUAAAAGGUUAUAGAAUUUGAUCAAUUAAACUUAAUAGAACUUUUGUUCUUGUGAGGUUACCUCCUCUCUUCUUUCGUUCGAGUCUCGAAGCGACUUAUCUAGCUUGCUAGUGGUCUCAAUCCGAACUCCAUUGAACUUAUCACCGAAUCGGUGUGGCGUUCAACCAUUUUCCUAUACCUUUGGUGAUACGACCUUACCCCGGGCACACUUUUGGAUCAACUCCCUAAGCAUUGUUUGCAAAUCCAUGCGAGCUGAAUUAGUUCAAUUUCAUUUCGUUAAGCUCCGUUUAGCUCGUUUCCAGCUCACUCGAGCUCAAGUCAACUCACUCAAGCUCAAUUCAGCUCAAUCUUAACCCAAUGAGCUUAUUUUUAGCUUUCUUUAGCUUGCAUUUAUUUUGCUGAAAUAAACCAUUUAAUUUGUCAUUAGUUAAAUUAGUUGUUUAUCUUAAGUUAGUUAAUUUGUUAAAAUCUGGACAAAUAAUUAAUUAAGUGUUUUAAUUAUAUCUAAAUUAAAUAAUUAAUUAAUUAUGAUGUUUUAAAUAUGUCUAAAAUUGUUAAUAUGUAUGGCCAAAUUUAAUGUGCAAAUUAUUGAGUUCAUAUGCUGCUAAUUUAAUGUGUUUGAAAUGCAUUUAACUUGCUGAUUUAAUUUGCUGCAGGUUCAUGAACGGAUUGGUGCAAUGUAUGGGAGUGUGCAUGCACAAUUGAGGUUCAAUGGAUGGCAUUUAAAGGAGCACAUGCAUUUGGGACGUUCAUGCAAGAGGGAGUUGCUAAAAGUUCAUGUAUUUGAAGAUUCAUGGAUCAUAUUUAUGGGGGAAAAUACAUGGGACGUUUCAUGCAUGAUUCAUGCAUUUUCAAGAUGACCAUUCAAGUAUUUUAGGCACAUUAAUGCCUCAUUCAGCCAAGGGAGAUGUAGGAUCAUUAAAGAGCUGCACAUUCAUGGAAUUAUGGAGAUUCUUCAAGGCUAAGGAUGCAUGAAUGCAUCAAGUGAAGCAUCAUGAUGGUUCGGCCAAUUCAUGUACCAUCUUCAAGCAUGAACUGGAUUUUAAUGCUAUUUGUGUGAACAUGUUAAAUACAUGUGUGAACAGAAUUUAAGUUAGUGUGAACAACAUAGAUGCCAAAUAUCAAUAGGCAUUUUAGGCUUAUAAAUAGCUUACUUGUUUAUUGUAAAAGGUUACAGAAUUUGAUUAUUGAAAACUUGAUUGUGAGGUUUCCUCCUAUCCUAUUUCGUACGAGUCUCGUUCUGACUUAUCUAGCUCACUAGUGGCGUCAACCCGACUUCUUGAACUUAUCACCAUCCUGGUGUGGCGUUCAUCCACCUUUUUAUACCUUUGGUUCCUACCUUUCUAUAGGUAACGGGUCAAGGUCCAUCUUCGACAAUCCAUUAAACCCACCUUAAGCAAUAUAAGUCCCGGGGCAAUACUUCAUAUAGUAUUGAAUCAAUCUUCGCUUGAGUUCUAUUUUUCCAUUCCAUUUUAACUAUUAAAUUAUAAACAAUAUUUCUUUAUUUCACCGAGCCUAUCAAACAUCUACCCAAACCAUCUUUUGAACCCAUUUUCUCAACUUCCGCUAUAAAAAAUCAUCUAACUCCAUCUAUCUACAAAAUCGAACAAACUUCUCGUCGACGAUCGGGCAAUCAAGUGAAUCGACUCAAUCAACAGAGCCGGAUCACAUCAUUUGGUAUCAGAGCUACUAAAACGAGGAGUACCAAUGUUCGUAUCAAGCUCGGAAUAGGUUCGUAACGUAAAAAAAAGUCAAAAAAAAAAAUUGAGUUGGAAUUUAAUUUUUUUUCUCUUCCUUGUAUUUUGUUUACUAUUGUAUUGGAUUUAAAAAAAAGAGAAGAAAUUCAGAAAAAAAUUCAAAAAAGAAGUGACAAAAAAAUCGAGUUAAAAAAAAAGAAGAAAGAAAAAAAAGUGAAAAGUCUUGCGAGUUUUUAUCAUUAUCACUUAUUACUCCGAUCAUCAAGUUUCCCUUCCUACCAUUAUUUACCCAUCCCAACGCCACACUUUAAACCAAUUUUCUUCUUUAUUCAGCCUACCCUACACCCGACAUUAUCCCUUGUAACCAAUUCGAAACCGACCCUCAAGCAGCAAAUUAAGUGAUACGGGGUUGCGCGCGGACCAAGAUCGAGUUUCCAAGUCACGAGAAACUCCUACGAAAACCCUAAACAAUUAGAUCUGAAACGAAACAGAAAAUUAAAAGAUUAGAUUUUGAUUUUUCAGAUCUGAAAUAAAAUCCCCAAAUCAGCAAAGAAUCAAAUUGAGAAUAGAAAUAAGUGUUAGGGUUCUUGAAACCCUCAAGGAGAUUGUGAUUCUGCCCAAUUGAACACCAAGAUAGUUUUCCCCAAAUUUUGACAAUCUAAUUUCACCCAAAAAGAGUAUGGAAAAACCCUAGAAAUUGGGGAUUUUUGGGCUGAUUCCUUAAGAUAGAAAAAGGCUGAAAACACAAUAAGAACAGAAAAUAGAUUAGAUAAUGAUUCAGCACAAGUAGAAAUAAAGAAAGAAUUGACAGUAAGAAAUUAAAAGAUAAGUCCUAAGAAGCCUUGAAAUCUCGAAAGAUCUCACAACUCCCUUCAAACGGCUCUAAUCUCCCCUCUAAAGAAUAUCAAUGGCAAGAAGAAGGUUGAAGAUGGCUCCCACAAUCACAAGAUUGUUAAAACAACUUCUAAAGAAAACUCAAGAGAAAAAUCUUAGAGAAAACUCAAAGAAAAUUCUGCUCUCAACAAAUCUGAAAUUUUAAUAAUAAUGAUAAGUGUUUAACAAGGUAGACAGCCAUGCCUUUAAAUAGGCCUUAUAACUAGUCCUAAUCUAAUUAGAAAACUAAAAUAAAAAAAACUCCUAAUUAUUUUAAUAUGGAAAUUUGGUCAAAGGUCAUUUUAUCUGGGACUCUUGGACUGAAUAUUGACAUAAAAAUUUAAACUAAGUAAAUAAAUAAAUAAAUAAAUAAAAAUAAAAAUAGAACUUUACAACUUGGGCCUCUUUGACAAUUUGGCCUAAUUUUCAACUAAGUAUGGAUGGAUUUCUUGAUUGGGCUGGGAAUUUGCUUAUUGGGCCUCGCCUUCAAGAAUUUGGGCUUUUGUGACUCGUAUCAUUCCCCCUUCCUCAAAAAGAUUCGUCCUCAAAUCUGAAAAAUCAAAUGAACUCGACUUUCCCCUAUCGAACGGGACUAAUGGCAAUUGAGUCCACUGAAAAGAAUAGCCAUGAGAUAGUAAAUAGCAACGGAAACAAGCUUGUAGUCCAAUCAUAAGCAUAACAGAACAUGUAUAACGCAUGUGAAUGGACAGAUUCAGAUUACCAUGCAAACAAUCUAAUUUACUCACCACUGCCUCGUCAAAUAUUUGAAACAAAGAUGGACAUGUUUUAAGGCAUUCAGUCGUCUCACAUUGUUCCCACAAACCAUGAAUAAAUUACGAGUAAUAAAUCAAAUGGUAAACAUAAUCGUCACAAGUAGGUAUUUGAAAAGAUUCACAUGGUUCACAGAGUUGCAUAAUCAUACCAUGCAUUAAUCGACGGUCUAUAGAUUCACUCACACAUGCAUUAUCAAAAACAAGAAUCUUUUUAUCAACCAUCAAAACAGAUAGAUCAUCAAUAAAUAAAAUAGGACAGUCAAGCACGUUUCGAUCUAAGUGUUCAUCAACACAAUCUUUAUCACUAUCCGAGGAGUACAAAAGUGUUUCAAAGGUUUCAAGCAUCUUACCUCGAUAAGCAGAAGAAUAAGGGUCGAUUUUACCUUUUUCAUUUAAAACAAACCUUCGCUCAUCGGGGGCAUAGUGUAGUCGAAUCUCCGUUGUUGAGUUAACCUUUGUCAAAUGGAACUCAAACUUCAUGUACAACCACAUAAACUGUUUAAGGCACGAAUAUAAAUUGAAAACAAAUUUGUAAAAUUUUGUUACCUUAUUCUCCAAAACAGAUUUGGACAAAUUCGAGGAUUUUACACAAGGUAAAUCAAGAGAAUAACAAAUCACGCUUCUUUUCGUAAUGACUUUAUCAACCACAAUCGAAGAGUAACAAUUAAUCGGAUCAAAAUGAGGGGAUCUUUUAAGAACUAAGUCACCAAAAGUUUUAUUAAUAAUUUUCAAAUCUGCACUGGACUCGGUUUCUAAAAUUUCCUUACCUCGCUUACCUUCGGGAUCAUGUAGUGUGAUUUCAUCUUUGCCUAAGUUGAUCGUAUGAAAGCGUCUUUCAUUUGAGAGGUAUUGAAGUUGAAAGUUAUCUUUCGAUCUUUCGGGAACCUGAAAAGUAGCAACACAAGAAAAAUUCAUAUCUUGGUUAGUGAAAACAUUCCUCACUAGCCUUUCCUCGUCUUUUUCUUUUGUUUCUUUUUCUAACUCAUUUUCUCUUCUUUCUUCAACUUCUUUUUCAAUUUUCUUUUCUGUUUCACAUUCCUUUUCACUCUCAAUCUCUUUUUGCUCUUUUUCAUUCUCUUUUUCUUUUUCCUCACUUGUUUUAACAACAGAAUUUUUCAGUUUGAUUUGGUCCUCAUGGACUUGUUCCGGAGUAAGCGGCACUAAGGUGAUUUUCCUUCCUUGAUACUUGAAAGAAUACCUAUUGGUACGACCAUCGUGAGUGACCUUUCGAUCUAGUUGCCAUGGUUCUCCUAGCAAUAAAUGGCAGGCUUGAAUAGGUACUACGUCGCACACGACUUCGUCUUGAUAUUUACCGAUAGAAAAGGCGAUGCGCACUUGUUGAGUGACCUUAAAUUGGCUUUCGUUGCUAAGCCCUUGUAGUUGAUAAGGUCGUGGAUGCUUGGUAGUGGUUAAGCAAAGCUUUUCCACCAUCGUCAUGCUGGCUACGUUCGAGCAACUUUCACCAUCAAUAAUAACUCUACAAAGCUUACCUUGUACAUGGCAGCGAGUAUGAAAGAGAUGUUCUCGUUGCUGCUCGCUCUUUGGUUUUGCCAAAGAUGAUUGUCCAUGAUCAUGACAAUCAUCAUCCAUUCUAGGGACACGUUGAGGGUUGCACCUAUGGGGCUGGUUAUCCCUAUCUUCCUUAAUUGGAUCUCGAUAUUGAUGUUUUUGAUUCACUCGUACCUCAUUCAAAGUAGUAUUCAAUGCUUGAAGUGUAGCAUUUAUUUGUGUGAUUGCAGCAGUAUGUCUGUCUAACUGUUGUUGGACUUUCAUAAGUGCAUCAUUAUUAUCACCUUUAGACAUCUUCAAAACCUGUAAAAAAUAAACACUCAACACUCAAAAAUAAAAGUUAGCAAACCUCACCAUUAAUCACUCAAAAAGAAAAAUCAAAUUCUCAAUGAGGUCGAAUUCAAUCUUGUGAGUUCUUUAUCAGAGUUUAUAUCAACCAAUUAGAGAGUGUGAACCAAACUACCAAAGAAUCCUAAUUUGCACUAGGAUGCCAAAAACUGACGAGACACCAAUUGAUUCGUGUUGCACCGAGGAAGAAUUGGGCACACGUUUAAAUCCUACUAACACAAAAAACAAGAAGGUGUUAGAUAUUGUAAAGGGAGAAUAAAAAGCAAACAAAUGAAAACCUACAGCUAAGAAUCAAUAAAAAUUGUUGAAAACAGAAAACCCGAAAAACUGCGGAGUAACUUGACAACUUUUUUCGAGGUGUUCCCGAUCUCAAAAAAUCACAAAAUUAAAUCUGGAAUGUCUUCAAAUAUUUAAUUGUUGAUCUGGAAAAUUUGGGCACCAAAUUCAACCCGCUGAAUAUUUUUUUAAUUUUUUAUUGGAUUUAGUAUUUUUUCAAUUUUUUUACUUUUUCGACUUAUUUUUUUGCGGGAAAUAUUUUUUUAUAUUCAAUAACAGUGCCAAAAAUAUGUAUGUAAAAUUUCAGAUCAAUCAGAAAACGUUUACCCACUCAAAUGAAUUUUUUUUCGAAACUUUUUCUGGGUAAAACUGUUGUUUGUAAUUUAAAAAAUAGAGAUCAGUUUAGAAAUCAACCAAGAACACCCAAAACGCCCAAAAUCUGAUACCAAAUGAUACGGGGUUGCGCGCAGACCAAGAUCGAGUUGCCAAGUCACGAGAAACUCCUACGAAAACCCUAAACAAUUAGAUCUGAAACGAAACAGAAAAUUAAAAGAUUAGAUUUUUGAAUUUUCAGAUCUGAAAUAAAAUCCCCAAAUCAGCAAAGAAUCAAAUUGAGAAUAGAAAUAAGUGUUAGGGUUCUUGAAACCCUCAAGGAGAUUGUGAUUCUGCCCAAUUGAACACCAAGAUAGUUUUCCCCAAAUUUCGACAAUCUAAUUUCACCCAAAAAGAGUAUGGAAAAACCCUAGAAAUUGGGGAUUUUUGGGCUGAUUCCUUAAUAUAGAAAAAGGCUGAAAACACAAUAAGAACAGAAAAUAGAUUAGAUAAUGAUUCAGCACAAGUAGAAAUAAAGAAAGAAUUGACAGUAAGAAAUUAAAAGAUAAGUCCUAAGAAGCCUUGAAAUCUCGAAAGAUCUCACAACUCCCUUCAAACGGCUCUAAUCUCCCCUCCAAAGAAUAUCAAUGGCAAGAAGAAGGUUGAAGAUGGCUCCCACAAUCACAAGAUUGUUAAAACAACUUCUAAAGAAAACUCAAGAGAAAAAUCUUGGAGAAAACUCAAAGAAAAUUCUGCUCUCAACAAAUCUGAAAUUUUAAUAAUAAUGAUAAGUGUUUAACAAGGUAGACAGCCAUGCCUUUAAAUAGGCCUUAUAACUAGUCCUAAUCUAAUUAGAAAACUAAAAUAAAAAAAACUCCUAAUUAUUUUAAUAUGGAAAUUCGGUCAAAGGUCAUUUUAUCUGGGACUCUUGGACUGAAUAUUGACAUAAAAAUUUAAACUAAGUAAAUAAAUAAAUAAAUAAAAAUAAAAAUAAAAAUAAAACUUUACAACUUGGGCCACUUUGACAAUUUGGCCUGAUUUUCAACUAAGUAUGGAUGGAUUUCUUGAUUGGGCUGGGAAUUUGCUUAUUGGGCCUCGCCUUCAAGAAUUUGGGCUUUUGUGACUCGUAUCAUUAAGUCUACCGAGACAAAUCAUGAAAUUGUGAGAAGAGGUUGAGUGGAAAAAGGCACGAGUGAAAUUACAUCAAAGAAAAAGCCAAAAUUUGAAUGUAAACACGAGUGCGAGUGAAAAUCAUUAUUUCCUUUUCGAGCGAAUUUGAGAGGUUUGUGGUAAGGUAUUUAUUUUCUUUAUUAUUUUUUUAACAUCUUCUUGUCAUUACUUAAUCAUGUCUCGAGAAACAUUUCCCGAAUCAGAAUUCCAAUAUUUGAUGCAAGAGAUGCAUAGAAUGGUGAAAUCAAAAUUUGAUAAAUUGCAUGAUCGAUUGGAUCGAGUGGAGGAAAGAGCCCGAUGGAAGCCAAACUCACCGGGUGAAGAGACGGAGACAAGAUCAUCACGAAGGCACACAUCCAUUGAUUUUUUGGGAAGAGAUUCAUACCAUGAUUCCUAUUCAACGAGGAACUCAAGACGAAGCAAAGCAAGUUUUGAGUUUAAAGCUUUCCGAGGUGACGAACGAGAAAUCACAAGUAGUCCUUCGUAUGCACCGAGGUAUUCGUCCGCCAAGAAUCAAUCUCGAAGAGGUGAUCAUUUUUUGUAUGAAAGUCGUUCCAAUUAUACCCAACGAGAGUCAUUUCGUGCUGAUUCAUUUGUAACAUCUCCAUCCUAUAAUGAAAGAGCGAGGCAAAAAGAAAAAGAAAUAAGAAGAAAGGAAGGACAAGAAAUGUUGAUGAGAGAAAAUGAGCAUAUAUGGAAUGAAAUCGAGAGAUGAAAAAAAGAAAUGAAAGAAAAGGAACAAGAAAUUGAAAAAGAGAGUGAGAUUGAAGAAAGAAACGAGAGUGUAAAAGAAACGAGUGUCAUGGAAAAAGAAAUUGAGAUUGAAAAAGGAUGUGAAAAAGAGAAAGAAAUCGAAAAAGAAAUUGAGAUUGAACAAAAGUGUGAGGAAAAAGAGAAAAUUGAAAAAGAAAGAAAAGACAAUGAGUUAGAAAAAAAAACGAGAGAAAAGGAGGCAAAAGAGCAAGAAAAAGUGAGGAAUCUGUUUACUAAACCACAUGAGAAUUUGUCUUGUUUUGUUUCCUCUUUUCAGGUCUCCGGAAGGCCAAGUGACGAUAAUUUUCAACUCCAAUACCUCUCGAAGGAGAGAAGGUUCAUUUUCGCUGAAAAAGGUAAUGUUCUCAACUAUCCUAGUUCGCCUAUGCCAAAAGGUAAGCAAGGUAUGAAUGUUGAAAAUUUUAAAGCACUUCUGCCUUACUCGAUUGUUGAUGGACACACUGUUGAUGAUUUGGUCUUUAGAAAGAAUCUGAACUUUGACGUGGCUAUUUGUCAUUCUUUGAUUGAUGAUGAUCCAUUUGUUUUGUCUAAUGUUAAGAAGAUUCUUGCUUUUGAAAAAUAUCAUUUUGAUGGUAUUGGUUGUUUAUCUUUAACUUGCAAUGGAAUGCAUGUUUUGGAUGCGCAAGAUGAAAGUCCAUAUAAAAUGUUCAUUCUCACUGAUCAUGUUGAAAAGGAAUGGAAAUGUAUUGAUGAAUACGCCAUUGGCAAGAUUUUUGAUGAAGAGCGAAUAAAUCAGCACCAACAAAAUCUGGAAUUGUGUGAUCAAAAGUUGACAUAUCAUCUGCUUGGUUGUGUUGAUCAUGUGGAUUAUCUAAUUUUUGGUGUGAAAUUUCCAUGUUUUUGUAAAUCUUUUCGAAUGAAAUUUAAAGGGUUUGCUUGUUUGAAUUUGAGUAUGUUAACACCCUCGUUGUUUAAUUUGUGUAAAUUGUUGGAGAUAAAAGGACUCUUUUUGCCAUUUGGAUCGAGUAGUCAAAAUCAUGUCUUUAAUCCUGGAGUUUGCUAUUAUGAAUCAUCCAUGAAAGAAAGCAAGCAUCGUAAAAUUUGUUUGAAUGAAUGUGUAAACAAUCUUUGUUUGUAUGAUACUUUGUCUUUAAGUUUGAAAAUGAGCCAUGUGAAUCUUGUUGGUUUGUUAAGUCAAAAUCAAAAUUUUGUUUUCGGAGGAUGUUCUCAACUGUGGACUAAAAGAUCCGAACAUGUUUUGAAUGAUAAUGAUUUUGAGUUGCUUAGUGCUCUUUCUAUGAAGUCGGUCAUGAAAUUGCCAAAUCAAAUUGAAAUGGCAAGAGAAAAUUUUGUCUUCGACCCCGGUGAACACCAUUCUAUAUCAUUGCCUAAGGUAAUCGAACCAUGGAAAGUUGACUUCCAAAACCAUAGCUAUCAAAUGCCUUGUGAUUUAUGUUUGUUUCCAUCGAAGAAAAAGGUAAGAAUGAUUUCUAUUUUUGACCCCGGUAUUGGAUUAUUUGUUCAAACUGUGAAUCAAAUCUCAAAAAGUUCCUUUGUGUUUAAUCUUCAUCGUGUCACUAAUUCGUUUUAUUCUUUUAAAGGUGACAAUGUGAAGUGGUACCCUCCUAAAGAGGGAGGGCAUGCGAAUGAGCUUCUUUUGAUCCGAGUUAAUUGUGGCUUUCAGAAUCUUCAACGAUUUUUCGCGAGUAAAUGGCCCGAUUUAGGGACAAAUCGCUUUAAAGAGGGAGGGGAUGAUACGACCAUGCCCCGGGCACACUUUUGGAUCAGCUCCCUAAGCAUUGUUUGCAAAUCCAUGCGAGCUGAAUUAGUUCAAUUUCAUUUCGUUAAGCUCCGUUUAGCUCGUUUCCAGCUCACUCGAGCUCAAGUCAACUCACUCAAGCUCAAUUCAGCUCAAUCUUAACCCAAUGAGCUUAUUUUUAGCUUUCUUUAGCUUGCAUUUAUUUUGCUGAAAUAAACCAUUUAAUUUGUCAUUAGUUAAAUUAGUUGUUUAUCUUAAGUUAGUUAAUUUGUUAAAAUCUGGACAAAUAAUUAAUUAAGUGUUUUAAUUAUAUCUAAAUUAAAUACUUAAUUAAUUAUGAUGUUUUAAAUAUGUCUAAAAUUGUUAAUAUGUAUGGCCAAAUUUAAUGUGCAAAUUAUUGAGCUCAUAUGCUGCUAAUUUAAUGUGUUUGAAAUGCAUUUAACUUACUGAUUUAAUUUGCUGCAGGUUCAUGAACGGAUUGGUGCAAUGUAUGGGAGUGUGCAUGCACAAUUGAGGUUCAAUGGAUGGCAUUUAAAGGAGCACAUGCAUUUGGGACGUUCAUGCAAGAGGGAGUUGCUAAAAGUUCAUGUAUUUGAAGAUUCAUGGAUCAUAUUUAUGGGGGAAAAUACAUGGGACGUUUCAUGCAUGAUUCAUGCAUUUUCAAGAUGACCAUUCAAGUAUUUUAGGCACAUUAAUGCCUCAUUCAGCCAAGGGAGAUGUAGGAUCAUUAAAGAGCUGCACAUUCAUGGAAUUAUGGAGAUUCUUCAAGGCUAAGGAUGCAUGAAUGCAUCAAGUGAAGCAUCAUGAUGGUUCGGCCAAUUCAUGUACCAUCUUCAAGCAUGGACUAGAUUUUAAUGCUAUUUGUGUGAACAUGUUAAAUACCUGUGAUACGAGUCACAAAAGCCCAAAUUCUUGAAGGCGAGACCCAAUAAGCAAAUUCCCAGCCCAAUCAAGAAACCAUCCAUACUUAGUUGAAAAUCAGGCCAAAUUGUCAAAGUGGCCCAAGUUGUAAAGUUUUAUUUUUAUUUAUUUAUUUAUUUAUUUAUUUACUUAGUUUAAAUUUUUAUGUCAAUAUUCAGUCCAAGAGUCCUAGAUAAAAUGACCUUUGACCGAAUUUCCAUAUUAAAAUAAUUAGGAUUUUUUUUUUAUUUUAGUUUUCUAAUUAGAUUAGGACUAGUUAUAAGGCCUAUUUAAAGGCAUGGCUGUCCACCUUGUUAAACACUUAUCAUUAUUAUUAAAAUUUCAGAUUUGUUGAGAGCAGAAUUUUCUUUGAGUUUUCUCCAAGAUUUCUCUCUUGAGUUUUCUUUAGAAGUUGUUUUAACAAUCUUGUGAUUGUGGGAGCCAUCUUCAACCUUCUUCUUGCCAUUGAUAUUCUUUGGAGGGGAGAUUAGAGUCGUUUGAAGGGAGUUGUGAGAUCUUUCGAGAUUUCAAGGCUUCUUAGGACUUAUCUUUUAAUUUCUUACUGUCAAUUCUUUCUUUAUUUCUACUUGUGCUGAAUCAUUAUCUAAUUUAUUUUCUGUUCUUAUUGUGUUUUCAGCCUUUUUCUAUCUUAAGGAAUUAGCCCAAAAAUCCCCAAUUUCUAGGGUUCUUGCCGAUUCAUCCAUACUCUUUUUUGGGAGAAAUUAGAUUGCCGAAAUUUGGGGAAAACUAUCUGGAUGUUCAAUUGGGUAGAAUCGCAAUCUCUUCUAGGGUUUCAAGAUUCCUUAUUAACACUUAUUUCUAUUCUCUAUUUGAUUCUUUACUGUUUUGGGGAUUUUAUUUCAGAUCUGAAAAUUCAAAAAUCUAAUCUUUUAAUUUUCUGUUUCGUUUUAGAUCUAAUUGUUUAGGGUUUUUGUAGGAGUUUCUCGUGACUUGGCAACUCGAUCUUGGUCCGCGCGCAACCCCGUAUCAUUUGGUAUCAGAUUUUGGGCAUUUUGGGUGUUCUUGGUUGAUUUCUAAACUGAUAUCAAUAUUUUAAAGCAAAAACAGCAGUUUUACCCAGAAAAAUCUUUCAAAAAAAUUUUAUUUGAGUGGGUAAACAUUGUCAAAUUGAUCUGAAAUUUUACAUACAUAUUUGUGGCACUGUGAUUGAAUAUAAAAAAUUUAUUCCUGCAAAAAAAGUAGUCAAAAAAGUCAAAAAAUCGAAAAAAAGAUAAAAUCCAAUAAAAAUUUAAAAAAAUUCAGCGGGUUGAGUUUAGUGCCCAAACUUUCCAGAUCAAAAAUUAAAUAUUUAAGGACAUUCGAGAUUUAAUUUUGUGAUUUUUUGAGAUCGGGAACACCUCGAACGAAGUUGUCAAGUUACUCCACAGUUUUUCGGGUUUUCUGUUUUUAGCAAUUUUUAUUGAUUCUUAGCUGUAGGUUUUCAUUUGUUUGCUUUUUAUUAUACUUUUAAAAUAUCUAACACCUUCUUGUUUCUUGUGUUAGUAGGAUUUAAACGUGUGCACAAUCCUUCCUCGGUGCAACACGAAUCACUUGGUGUCUCGUCAGUUUUUGGCAUCCUAGUGCAAAUUAGGAUUCUUUGGUAGUUUGGUUCACACUCUCUAAUUGGUUGAUAUAAACUCUGAUAAAGAACUCACAAGAUUGAAUUCGACCUCAUUGAGAAUUUGAUUUUUCUUUUUGAGUGAUUAAUGGUGAGGUUUGCUAACUUUUAUUUUUGAGUGUUGAGUGUUUAUUUUUUACAGGUUUUGAAGAUGUCUAAAGGUGAUAAUAAUGAUGCACUUAUGAAAGUCCAACAACAGUUAGACAGACAUACUGCUGCAAUCACACAAAUAAAUGCUACACUUCAAGCAUUGACUACUACUUUGAAUGAGGUACGAGUGAAUCAAAAACAUCAAUAUCGAGAUCCAAUUAAGGAAGAUAGGGAUAACCAGCCCCAUAGGUGCAACCCUCAACGUGUCCCUAGAAUGGAUGAUGAUUGUCAUGAUCAUGGACAUCAUCUUUGCCAAAACCAAAGAGCGAGCAGCAACGAGAACAUCUCUUUCAUACUCGCUGCCACGUACAAGGUAAGCUUUGUAGAGUUAUUAUUGAUGGUGAAAGUUGCUCGAACAUAACCAGCACGACGAUGGUGGAAAAGCUUUGCUUAACCACUACCAAGCAUCCACGACCUUAUCAACUACAAGGGCUUAGCAACGAAGGCCAAUUUAGGGUCACUCAACAAGUGCGCAUCGCCUUUUCUAUCGGUAAGUAUCAAGACGAAGUUGUGUGCGACGUAAUGCCUAUUCAACCCUGCCAUUUGUUGCUAGGAGAACCGUGGCAACUGGAUCGAAAAGUCACUCACGAUGGUUGUACCAAUAGGUAUUCUUUCAAGCAUCAAGGAAAGAAACUCACCUUAGUGCCGCUCACUCUGGAACAAGUCCAUGAGGACCAAAUCAAACUGAAAAAUUCUGUUAAAACAAGUGAGGAAAAAGAAAAAGAGAAUGAAAAAGAGCAAAAAGAGAUUGAGAGUGAAAAAGAAAUUGAAGAAAGAAGAGAAAAUGAAUUAGAAAAAGAAACAAAAGAAAAAGACGUGGAAAGGGUAGUGAGGAAUGUUUCCACUAACCAAGAUAUGAAUUUUUCUUGUGUUGCUACUUUUCAGGUUCCCGAAAGAUCGAAAGAUAACUUUCAACUUCAAUACCUCUCAAAUGAAAGACGCUUUCAUACGAUCAACUUAAGCAAAGAUAAAAUCACACUACAUGAUCCCGAAGGUAAGCGAGGUAAGGAAAUUUUAGAAACCGAGUCCAGUGCAGAUUUGAAAUUUAUUGAUAAAACUUUUGGUGACUUAGUUCUUAAAAGAUCCCCUCAUUUUGAUCCGAUUAAUUGUUACUCUUCGAUUGUGGUUGAUAAAGUCAUUACGAAAAGAAGCGUGAUUUGUUAUUCUCUUGAUUUACCUUGUGUAAAAUCCUUGAAUUUGUCCAAAUCUGUUUUGAAGAAUAAGGUAACAAAAUUUUCCAAAUUUGUUUUCAAUUUAUAUUCGUGCCUUAAACAGUUUAUGUGGUUGUAAAUGAAGUUUGAGUUCCAUUUGACAAACGUUAACUCAACAAUGAAGAUUCGACUACACUAUGCCCCCGAUGAGCGAAGGUUUGUUUUAAAUGAAAAAGGUAAAAUCGACCCUUAUUCUUCUGCUUAUCGAGGUAAGAUGCUUGAAACCUUUGAAACACUUUUGUACUCCUCGGAUAGUGAUAAAGAUCGUGUUGAUGAACACUUAGAUCGAAACGUGCUUGACUGUCCUAUUUUAUUUAUUGAUGAUCUAUCUGUUUUGAUGGUUGAUAAAAAGAUUCUUGUUUUGAUAAUGCAUGUGUGAGUGAAUCUAUAGACCGUCGAUUAAUGCAUGGUAUGAUUAUGCAACUCUGUGAACCAUGUGAAUCUUUUCAAAUACCUACUUGUGACGAUUAUGUUUACCAUUUGAUUUAUUACUCGCAAUUUAUUCAUGGUUUGUGGGAACAAUGUGAGACGACUGAAUGCCUUAAAACAUGUCCAUCUUUGUUUCAAAUAUUUGACGAGGCAGUGGUGAGUAAAUUAGAUUGUUUGCAUGGUAAUCUGAAUCUGUCCAUUCACAUGCGUUAUACCUGUUCUAUUAUGUUUAUGAUUGGACUACAAGCUUAUUUCCAUUGCUAUUUACUAUCUCAUGGCUAUUCUUCUCAGUGGACUCAAUUGCCAUUAGUCCCGUUCGAUAGAGGAAAGUCGAGUUCAUUUGAUUUUUCAGAUUCGAGGACGAAUCUUUUUGAGGAAGGGGGGAAUGAUACGAGUCACAAAAGCCCAAAUUCUUGAAGGCGAGGCCCAAUAAGCAAAUUCCCAGCCCAAUCAAGAAAUCCAUCCAUACUUAGUUGAAAAUCAGGCCAAAUUAUCAAACUGGCCCAAGUUGUAAAGUUUUAUUUUUAUUUUUAUUUAUUUAUUUAUUUACUUAGUUUAAAUUUUUAUGUCAAUAUUCAGUCCAAGAGUCCUAGAUAAAAUGACCUUUGACCGAAUUUCCAUAUUAAAAUAAUUAGGAGUUUUUUUUAUUUUAGUUUUCUAAUUAGAUUAGGACUAGUUAUAAGGCCUAUUUAAAGGCAUGGCUGUCCACCUUGUUAAACACUUAUCAUUAUUAUUAAAAUUUCAGAUUUGUUGAGAGCAGAAUUUUCUUUGAGUUUUCUCCAAGAUUUCUCUCUUGAGUUUUCUUUAGAAGUUGUUUUAACAAUCUUGUGAUUGUGGGAGCCAUCUUCAACCUUCUUCUUGCCAUUGAUAUUCUUUGGAGGGGAGAUUAGAGCCGUUUGAAGGGAGUUGUGAGAUCUUUCGAGAUUUCAAGGCUUCUUAGGACUUAUCUUUUAAUUUCUUACUGUCAAUUCUUUCUUUAUUUCUACUUGUGCUGAAUCAUUAUCUAAUUUAUUUUCUGUUCUUAUUGUGUUUUCAGCCUUUUUCUAUCUUAAGGAAUUAGCCCAAAAAUCCCCAAUUUCUAGGGUUCUUGCCGAUUCAUCCAUACUCUUUUUUGGGAGAAAUUAGAUUGCCAAAAUUUGGGGAAAACUAUCUGGGUGUUCAAUUGGGCAGAAUCGCAAUCUCUUCUAGGGUUUCAAGAUUCCUUAUUAACACUUAUUUCUAUUCUCUAUUUGAUUCUUUACUGUUUUGGGGAUUUUAUUUCAGAUCUGAAAAUUCAAAAAUCUAAUCUUUUAAUUUUCUGUUUCGUUUCAGAUCUAAUUGUUUAGGGUUUUCGUUGGAGUUUCUCGUGACUUGGCAACUCGAUCUUGGUCCGCGCGCAACCCCGUAUCAACCUGUGUGAACAGAAUUUAAGUUAGUGUGAACAACAUAGAUGCCGAAUAUCAAUAGGCAUUUUAGGCUUAUAAAUAGCUUACUUGUUUAUUGUAAAAGGUUACAGAAUUUGAUUAUUGAAAACUUGAUUGUGAGGUUUCCUCCUAUCCUAUUUCGUACGAGUCUCGUUCUGACUUAUCUAGCUCGCUAGUGGCGUCAACCCGACUUCUUGAACUUAUCACCAUCCUGGUGUGGCGUUCAUCCACCUUUUUAUACCUUUGGUUCCUACCUUUCUAUAGGUAACGAGUCAAGGUCCAUCUUCGACAAUCCAUUAAACCCACCUUAAGCAAUAUAAGUCCCGGGGCAAUACUUCAUAUAGUAUUCAAUCGUUCUUCGCUUGAGUUCUAUUUUUCCAUUCCAUUUUAACUAUUAAAUUAUUAACAAUAUUUCUUUAUUUCACCGAGCCUAUCAAACAUCUACCCAAACCAUCUUUUGAACCCAUUUUCUCAACUUCCGCUAUAAAAAAUCAUCUAACUCCAUCUAUCUACAAAAUCGAACAAACUUCUCGUCGACGAUCGGGCAAUCAAGUGAAUCAACUCAAUCAACCGAGCCAGAUCACAUCAUUUGGUUCUUACCUCCAUAUAGGUAACGGGUCAAGGUCCACUUCUAUCCUUCAUCAAAAUUCACGUUAAGCAAUAUAAGACUCGGGGCAAUACUUUUUAGUAUUGAAUCAUUCUUAAAGUUUGAGUUCUUCAUCCAUUUCCAUUUAUUUAUCAUCUUUGUAACUUAAUUCUUUGUUAAACCGAACUUAUCUUUCAUCAAACCAAAACCCAUCCUUUGAACCCAUUUUGCCUACCUUCCGCUUAUAAAACAUUCAAACUCCAUCUAUCUACAAAUUUGAAUGAGCUUCUCGUCGACGAUUGGGCAUCUUAAGUGAACCCGACUCAAUCAAUCGGGUCGGAUCACAUCAUUUUUGGUAUCAGAGCUUGCAAAAUGAGGAGCACCGACAUUCGUAACAAGGCCGUAAGUAGGUUCGGAACGUGAAAAAAAAUAAAAAAAUAAAAUUUCGAGUUGUAAUUUAAUUUUUUUCCUUCCUUGUAUUUACCUUACUAUUGUAUUGGAGUAUCACAAAAAAAUCAAAAUUCAAAAAAAAUUCAAAAAAAAAGAAAAAAAAAGAAAAAAAGUAAAAAAAAAAGAAGUGAAAAGUCUUGCGAGUUUUAUUUUCAUCUCUUAUUACUCUGAUCAUCAAGUUUCCCUUCCUACCAUUAUUUACCCAUCCCAACGCCACACUUUAAACCAAUUUUUUUCUUUGUUCAGNNNNNNNNNNNNNNNNNNNNNNNNNNNNNNNNNNNNNNNNNNNNNNNNNNNNNNNNNNNNNNNNNNNNNNNNNNNNNNNNNNNNNNNNNNNNNNNNNNNNNNNNNNNNNNNNNNNNNNNNNNNNNNNNNNNNNNNNNNNNNNNNNNNNNNNNNNNNNNNNNNNNNNNNNNNNNNNNNNNNNNNNNNNNNNNNNNNNNNNNNNNNNNNNNNNNNNNNNNNNNNNNNNNNNNNNNNNNNNNNNNNNNNNNNNNNNNNNNNNNNNNNNNNNNNNNNNNNNNNNNNNNNNNNNNNNNNNNNNNNNNNNNNNNNNNNNNNNNNNNNNNNNNNNNNNNNNNNNNNNNNNNNNNNNNNNNNNNNNNNNNNNNNNNNNNNNNNNNNNNNNNNNNNNNNNNNNNNNNNNNNNNNNNNNNNNNNNNNNNNNNNNNNNNNNNNNNNNNNNNNNNNNNNNNNNNNNNNNNNNNNNNNNNNNNNNNNNNNNNNNNNNNNNNNNNNNNNNNNNNAGUGGCCAGCUGAAAUUUCCCUAUUAUUUCUCUUAAUUAGGUUUAAUUUUUUAUUAGUUACUUGUGAGAUUAGGAUUUUUUGGAGGCCUAUAUAAGCAUUGGCCGGCCACCCUUUGUAAAACACAUCUCAUUAUUAUUUCUUUAUCAAAUUUCAGAUUUGUUUGAGUGCAGAAUUUUCUUUGGGGUUUUUCUCCAAGAAUUCUAUCUUGAGCUUUCUUUAGAAGCUGUUUUAACAAUCUUUGGAUUGUGGGAGCUAUCUUCAACCUUCUUAUUGCCUUUGAUAUUCAUUGGAGGGAAGAUUAGAGCCGUUUGAAGGGAUUUGUGAAUUCUUUCGGGAAUUCAAGGAUUCUUAGGACUUUUCUUUAUCUCUUGCUGUUUCGAUUUAUUUCUUUAUUCCUACUUGUGCCGAUUCAUUAUCUAAUAUUUUUGCUAUUCUUGCUUGUGUUUCCAGCCGUGAUUAAACUCAAGAUCUCAUCAUUUAAGUUGUUCUCCUAUUGGCAACACACAUUCGAAUCCAAAAAUCCCCAAUUCCUAGGGUUUGGCCGAUUGGAUCUCUUUCUAUUUGGGGAUCAAUUGAUUGCUGGAAAUUAGGCAUUCUUGACCGAAUCAAUUCCUUGGCAGAUUCGCAUAUUUUCUUUCUUCUCAAUUUCGUUUGGUUCUUGAUUCUAUUUCUUUUCUUCUUGUCGACCAAAACCCUAAUUUUAUCCCAUUGAUUUGCUGAAUCUUUUUAAGAUUAAUUUGCUGUUGUGUUUGUGAUACGGGGGUUGCGUGCGGACCAAGAUCAAGUUGCCAAGUCACGGGAAACUCCUACGAAAGCUCUAAACGAACAGAUCUGAAAUUUAAAACAAAGAACAAGAUUAAACUAAUCAGAUCUAAAAUUAAAUCCCCAAAUUCAAUUAAAUGAGCAGCAAGGAACAAAGAACGAAUGAAUAAAUGUAUUCGGAGUUCAAAAAGAUGAAAUCGAACUCCAAUAGUGAAAUUCCACAAGCCGAAUAUGCCAAGAACACCAAAACAGUAAGUAGAUUGAAACAAUCAGAUUUUUAAUUGGAAGAUUAGGGAUUUGGGUGGCAAAAAUAAAAGAAAGAAAUAGAUGAAAUUGAACGGUUCAAGAAGUGAAUUUAAGUUGUGAUUCGGUCCAAUUGAACACCCAAGAUGAAUUGCCCAAAUUUCAGCAGCCAAAUUUCACCCAACAAGAAGAAAUAGAAAACGGCAAGAACCCUAAAUUUUGGGGAAUUUUGAAUCGAUUAGAUGCUGCCAAUAAAAGAACCAAUUAAAUGAAGAGUUCUUGGAGUUUGAAUCAAGGCUGAAACACAAACAAAAACAGCAAAGAAAUUAGAUAUAGAUUCGGCAUCAACAGAAAUAAAGAAAAGAAAUUGAACAGCAAGAAUAAAAGAUAAGUCCUAAAGAUCCUUGAAAUCCCGAAAGAUCUCACAAAUCUCUUCAAACGGCUCUAAUCUCCCCUCCAAAGAAUAUCGAUGGCAAGAAGAAGGUUGAAUAUGGCUCCCACAAUCAAAAGAUUGUUAAAACAACUUCUAAAGAAAACUCAAGAGAGAAAUCUUGGAGAAAACUCAAAGAAAAUUCUGCUCUCUCAAAUCUAAAAUUUAAGAAUGAAUCUAAGUGUUAUGUACAAGGGGUGGCCGGCCAUGCCUUUAAAUAGGCCUCAAGUAAUCCUAAUCUAACAAGUAACUAAUAAAAUUAAACCUAAUUAAUAGAAUAAAAUAAAGGAAAAUUCGGCCAAGCAUAUAUAUGGGCUGUUUUUGGGCUGAAUUUUACAUGUAUGUUCCUACAGCUUAAAAAAUUAAAUUAAACAAUUAAAAUGUUUAUAAAUUGGGCCCGUUGACAUUUUGGCCUGAUUUUCAACUAAGUAUGAAGGAAUUUCUUGAUUGGGCUGGAAUUUGGUUAUUGGGCCUCGCCUUCAAGAAUUUGGGCUCGUGAUCCAUCUCCUACCGAAAUUGGGAAUAUGAGAAAUGUGGCCUAUCUAUGGAAGGAAUCUUUUGUUACUAGAACCCCUUCCUAGUGACUGUAAGCGAAAUGCAUUUAGUGAACGCCUGGGGGUACUGAGUUCCAUACUUUUUAUUAUAGAAAUGUUAUCUCUAUCUAAACGACUAAGUCUUCCAGUGAUCUCUCCCCCACCCAAAACCAUCCCUUCCAGCGUUAGCGUACAAGAAGGAGCUUUUGGCAGUGAGUCGAAAGUCUUAGUGAGAAGCCCUCUUAAGACUCUUUCCACUCUUCUCUGAGUGCCUUCAACAGUGCUUAGGUAGCGCUCACUGCGAGAUAGGCAGCUCAGCUUACUAUUAUUCCUACCCUAAUGUGUCAAGAAUAGAAUAGGUAGCACAGGUCAGCAAGCAUAACUAGAUCUAAGGUAUUUGCAUCAGAAAGUCUAUCCUACCCCAACCCACUUCUUGGUUCUUUCUACUAUAUAUAAUAUGUGACCAGAGAAAUGGGGAGAUAGGAGAGUCUCGAUCAUGUGAGAGAAUUAGGUAUGGAAAACUGACUCACAUACGAAUAACUCUUCUUAUGGCAGGAGCCUAGCCUAUUUUUUUAGAAAUGCAAGAGAGAGUACGCUAAUGUAGGAGUGUGCUGCCUAGCAAAGUACUACUCUUAGCAACUAGCUUUACUGAAAGCCUUAGUAAGUCAGUCUAGAAACUUCCUCUUAGCUUAAGGGGUGGGUUGGUUAGGUUUAUUGCACCAAAAAGUCAAGGAACUAAGAACGAAAAGAAGACGAACGAGCUAAAAUACCUCUUUGCUCUAAGAGAUAGUUGAUUCAAGCAGGAAAGGAAUGAGAGGAGCAUCAGCAUAAAUAUAAUAAAGAAGUUGUUUUCGAUUGACAUUAAGGAAAAUGAGUUCAAAUAGAAGAUUUAGGCUCAAAGACGGUUCAAUCCCCCGAGCGUUGACAUUGCCAGCUCCAGAAGACCAUCACAAACCAUUUGACCACACACAGGGGAGCCCACAACCUCGACCUCAGUAUGGAAAGCAUCUAAGGGGGUUUACCACUGAAUCGUUAGAGUCUGGGUGGUCAAUCUUCCUUCUUCUUUGGCAUCUCGACAGGUGGGCAUGAAAACAAGACUUGAAGAGGGCUCAGGUAUCAACGUCCUUAGCCCGCAUUCAUCAAUAUCAAUAAGAGUCGCAGUCGUAUAGGUAUAGGCUAGCGCUUCCUUGCUCGCAUCCGAAGUAGCGAUUCCCUUCCUCGCUCAGUAAAGUCAGAAGGAAAGGCAUAAAGCAAGUACUGCGAACCCCUUUAAGCACGAGAUUGGACAUCCUACUUUCUCCGCAUCAAGACCGCGUUCACCCCCUUUCCUUUCAAAACAUUGAAGGUCGGGUGAGAAUAAAGAGGGAGGGAGCACUCGUGGCACACUGACUAUAUCCGUUCGAGAAGAAAGCAGAGUUCCUAUUCACCGCUACCCCUGAGUGAAGAGUCGACUCAAAAGAGCAAUUCAAGAGACAAGCUUGCUUCUUCUCGCGGGUUGGCUUAAUUUCUCUUCUUUCAAUCAUGGAUGGUCAUAAUACUUUUGAGUCGACUCCUUUUCGUCAAGUGGCUAAGAAUCUUCUCUCUGUGGUUCAACAAUUUAGUGAAUCUUCUACCUUUUUUCGCACAAAGUGACAAUCCAAUUCAAUGUGUUUGCUUCGUGCAUGAAAGAGUGGAUUUGAAGCCAACUUUAUAGCACUCUGGUUAUCACAAAGUAGAGUUAGACCAUUAGGCUUUAUACCCAGCUCAGAGAGAAGGUGACGAUACCAAGUUCUUUCUACUGUUGCAUCCGACAUUGCACGAUAUUUUUCCUUUGCGCUUGAUCGAGAAAUUGUUCUUUGUUUCUUGCUACUCCAUAAGAUAAGUGAACCAGCAAAGAAGACACAAAAACCUGAAAUUGAUCGAUCUCCUUGAAUCAGGAUCUCCGCCCCAGUUAGCAUCUGAGUAAGCAACUAGAUUAGGUUGCCUUUUGACAGUAGGGAAAAAAAAGCCCAUCUACUAAUGUUCCUUUCACAUAACAAAGGAUUCUCUUGGCAGCUUGAAUAUGUAACUCACGAGGAUCAUGCAUGAAUUGACAUACUUGGUUUACAGCAAAUGUUAUAUCUGGGCGUGUAAAAGUGAGAUAUUGAUGUGCUCCCACAAGACUUCUAUACUUCUCUGGAUGUUUGACAGGGUUACUAUCUUUUUGUGAUAAUUGCUGUCCAAGAACCAUAGGGGUAGGUGCAGGUUUGCAAUCAUUCAAACCAAAUCUUUUUAGAAGAUCAAGAGCAUAUGUGAAGGAGGCUCCUACUAGCUGCACUGUAAAGUAAAGGGACUGCUUCCGCUUGAAAGGCUAAAAAGUUGAGUGACUACGCUUGACCUUUUUCAUUCAAUUGCUUGUCUUGGAAAAGACCUAAAGAUUGCUGUAAAAGAAAGAUCAAAUAGAUUUACGUUAGAGAAUUCUCUUGUUGAAAUAGCUUAUCUGCUUUCUUACUUGCUGACUUAAGACUUUAUGGAUGUAAUAACUCGGAUUUCAAAAAAGGCGAGGGCUCUUAUAACUCCAUUGUUAAGCAGAGGGAUGUUCUAAAUCUAUCUAUUUUAAAUAGAUUUUAGUUUAUUAUUACUACAUUUAAUAUUCAAAAUAGAAGAUAUAUUUAAUAUUUCGAGGUUGAGAAACUACUUUCCAAAGCUUUUUGUCUAUCCUUUGCCUGAUGGCUUUCCUCAAAUAAAGGUCUUUCUACUGGCUAGCCUUAGGAUUUUAUGGACAUUCAAAAAGAUAGGGAUUCAGAUGAAAUAGCAAAGAGAAUUCGAAGAGAGGAAUUGACUUGGGCUUACGACAUGGUUGUUUUCCCUUGGGGGGCUAUAUCUUUCUUCCAUGGUAGGGCUCUAGGGGCAGGGCAUCUGUGAAUGAAUCCUUUGACUUUUCCUCCUACAAGGGGAAGGGACUACUCAUAUGGCUCACACGGGGACAAUAGAUAGAGGUUUUUUUGAGAGCAAUAAACCUUGAACUCUUUAAGACCCUUAGAUGGAAUCACAAUCUCUGUUGUUCGCUAGGGGAAAAGCUAUCCAAGAGAGUUCUAUAAGUCCCGGUAUGCUACUUACGCUCGUUUAGUCCUUCUCCAUAAGAUUCAAAUAUAGCUGCUUUUUUCAAAGCAGGUCUUAGCACUGCACCUAGAUCCAAGGCUGCAACUCCAUCUGGUAAGGGGACUGCUGCAACGAGAACUUAAACUCAAAAUGAAUUUCAUCCCCCGAGAAUCUGCUAUCUCUAGCUUCCUUUCCUCCUUCUUCCUUUUCUGAUCCUGAUGGCUUGACAGAGUAAGGGACUAAUGAGACUGGGACUUAUAAUGGUAAUCUAGAAAGUGUUACCUCGGGGACUGCAUGCAACCUUUAACACUCAAACUGCAGGCUAGGCUUACCUUUUUUUAUUCUGCAACUGAAUUUGAUUGGGGACUGAGACUGCUACAAGAGGGAAUGCCCCUACCAUGGCAAGAGAUAGCCCUAUAACCUGGUUUUCAGCAGAUCUAGAAUAUCCUGCCCCUCUUUCAACAAACUUGCUUGCUCACUUCCAAUCUAACGAGAAAGAAAAUCUCUAACUGGUCCUAGAGAAGAACCUGAAUGGCUUACAGGGCACUCUCCAUGGCUAGAAGAGGGAAUGACAAGAUUAGGAUGAAUGGAAGCUAGCCCUAAAAGUAUAUGGGUGGCAACUCACCCUCAUACUAGAUAUGAGUCAGCAAAGAUAGGCCCUCGCUCGAUCUAUGAUAUCAGAGAAGAAUAUAGUUUAAGUUAUGGGGACUGCUACUGGCAUAUUACUCCCUUCAGUUAGUCUUCCCUGUUGGCUUGAAAAAUAAAUGUCUUGUUCACUCACUUGACCCUGUUUACUGCAUGAAAGAAAUCAUUAGCACAGGUGUUAUUUAUAUAUAAAGUGGAUCGCUUCUAAGUGAAAAGGAUGAAAUGGAAGGGAAGAAAGAAGUCAACUUAUCAUCCUCUUCAUUCCCAGAUGAUUAAGAAAAGAAACUUAAAAAAAAUAUCUCUUCAUAUGCCGAAGAUCGUACUAUUGAAAAGCAAAGAUAUUCACUAAGCCUAAGUCAGUCCUUACCCCAGAAAUCUUAGAUCUACGAAUAUCAAAGUCUGAUAGCAGAGUUCAGCUUAAAAAGCAAUAGCUUCGGAAGAGAUGCGCCUUUCGCCGUGUAUUCCCACAUUGAAUCGCAAUUGGUUGAUAAAAGAACUAUCUUCCCCUAAAACUUCGGAUAGAAAGAUGAAAUUUAUCCCACUAGUCAAUAUCUUAUACCAAUGUAAGGUUGGAUUGCCUUCUCCUUGCUACUCUCUCUUUGAAAAAGUUAUUUUACAAUUCCAACUCAGAAAUUCCCAGAGAAAGCAAAGCAGGAAGGAACUUUCCCAAGAUAGGCGCACUAGAUCUUUAUUCUAGGGAAAGCAAAUUUGAGAUGUAAGAAGGUCGGGUCAGCUUGAGACAGAUGUGGUUCUUCUGGGUUAGUCCCACUCAAUGGGAACUCUAUAUCAAAUCUCAAAGAGACGAGAAGGUUUUUCCAUGAAGGAAAACUCCAACCUAGCAAAGAAUUUACCUAUCUCAUCCCGUAGCUAUCUCAAUGGAACUGGAGGGCCUUAGGACUGCUAUUUCAUAGCUGGACACUGAUACGAUCCAGCCCGGUUAAUGAAUCCGAGUCGUUGUUGUGCCCGAUCGUGAAUUGGAGUAAUUUGAAAGCUUUACAAAAUAGGCUAGAAGAAAAGGAAUUAUUUAGGCUCAAUAAAGUUUUGUUGGUUUAGGAAAUGAAACAUAAAUCAAUGGAUGAAGUUUGGGCUAAGUAUUCAAAAGCCGAACUAACACAAUAAGAGUGUGUUAACCCGUAACUUAGGAGAAUGCUUAGGUUGGUAGGGUGUUGAUGGAAGGUUUGUUAAGUGGAUAGAAACUUCGACCCGCUAUCAAAAAUGAUAGGAACCUCAGUACGAAUCGAACGCCACACUUUUGGGAUUAAAGUGAUAAGUUCGGAUAGAAAGACGGGUUGACGCCACAAGGGUUACUUGAUAAGUCAGACGAGUCUUUGGAGAACAAUGAGAGUUGAAAACAAACUCACAAAGUAAACAAAUUUCAUAUAAAGUUUAAAAGUAUAUUGUCUAACCUUUUACAUGUUUACAAGCCAACUAUUUAUACUAAAACUAGGACAUGAAUAGCCAAUUCUGGCCAUUAAUAAGUAACAUGAAUCAGCCCAUGAACCGAUUUUAAUGAUAUAUGUUCAUCCAUUGAAUGACAUUUAAGUCACAUUCGUCCCCCCCUUGCCAUCCAUAGAUGCAUCCUUAGUCAUGAAGCAAAUGUUUGUUCAUCAUGGGUAAUAAAUUUGACUUCUAGAAUCUGCCCAUUCAUCCCUUCAAUUUGGAUGGUGCUUUUAAGGCUCCUUUGUUUCCCACGAAAAAGGCUCCUAGGUGAGCUCAAACGGCAGCUUAAAUGUAGGUUUUAAUUUGCUGCUCAUGCAUUCUCUUAAUUGAGACGGCACAUUAAUGGCUCUAUUGAAGGGACCGAAAUAGCACAUGGAGAAGAGGGAUUUUAAUGCCGUCCCAUGCAUAGGGAGAAGAAUGCAGCAACCAAUUUAAUGUCGUCCAAGCAUGCAUCAAAAUUCAAGAGCCAUUGAUCUUCACGAAAAGGCUCAUAGGAAAUAGGAAUCAGCAGCCCUUAAUGAGUCCUUUGCUAUGCACGAAAAUGGAUGUAUAGAAACACAAUGCAUGCUUCCUUUAAUGCCGUUCAUGCAUGCUUCUAAAGGAGAAGUCAACAGCUCUUUAAAUGCUUCCCUUUGCUAUUAAGUCUAUUGUAGACACAUUAAAUUCGGCAGCUAGCAUUAAACCUGCAUAAUAAAUUGUUCUUUAAAUUCGUCCCCAUAUCCAUGCACCUGCACACAUUUAAAUCAGCCAUUAACUCAAGUUUAAGGCAAAACAAAAUUGGGUCAACAAGGCAUAUUAAAUUCGGCUGUUUAGGAAAAAUGCAGCAGCCAACUUCCCUUUAAAUGUCGUUCCAUGCAUGGGAACAUCUCCUUAAAUGCAUGUUUCCUUUGCCAUUUAGCCGAAUUCAAUGACCUGCAGACACAAAAUAAAUUCGGUCAAAUAAUUCAUGCACAUUACAAUUAAAUUCGGCAGCCACAAGACACCUUAAAGUGGUUCAUUAAUUCGGCUGAAUUAAGUCAACAAUUAGACAUAUUAAAUUCGGCACUUUAAAGCACUAAAGACACAUUAAACAACAGCAUUAAAUCCGUCCAGACACAUUAAAAGCUGUACUAAAUAGAACACAUUUAAAUAGUCUUAAGACAAAUUUAAAGCAUGCAUUAAAACCAAUAAAACAUAUUUAAAAUGUCCAGAUUUCUUAAUUAAAUACUUAGUAAUUAUUUAAGCUAAAAUAACUAACUUAACUAAUUAAUUUAUUCCAGCAAAUUAAAUUAAAUGAGCUAGUGAGCUAAUAACGAGCUUAAUGAGCUGAAUUGAGCUCGAAUGAGCUGAACCAAAAAUGUUUCCGGGGCGGGGUCGUAUCAGACACUGGAAUGGAACUCCCUGAAUAUGAAAUUAUAUCGUUAGUCCUAAAUACAAGAGAAAGAUCUAUCGCCCCACCAUCUGAUGUGAUCCGGCCCGAUUAAUUGAGUCGGGUUCACUUAAGAUGCCCGAUCGUCGACGAGAAGCUCGUUCAAAUUUGUAGAUAGAUGGAGUUUGAAUGUUUUAUAAGCGGAAGGUAGGCAAAAUGGGUUCAAAGGAUAGGUUUUGGUUUGAUGAAAGAUAAGUUCGGUUUAACAAAGAAUUAAGUUACAAAGAUGUUAAAUAAAUGGAAAUGGAUAAAGAACUCAAACUUUAAGAAUGAUUCAAUACUAAAAAGUGUUGCCCCGAGUCUUAUAUUGCUUAAGGUGAAUUUUGAUGAAGGAUAGAAGCGGACCUUGACCCGUUACCUAUAUGGAGGUAAGAACCAAAGGUAUAGGAAGAUGGUUGAACGCCACACCGAUUCGGUGAUAAGUUCAAUGGAGUUCGAAUUGACACCACUAGCAAGCUAGAUAAGUCGCUUCGAGACUCGAACGAAAGAAGAGAGGAGGUAACCUCACAAGAACAAAAGUUCUAUUAAGUUUAAUUGAUCAAAUUCUGUAACCUUUUUACAAAGAGAAAAGAACUAUUUAUAGAUUACAUUAGAUAGCCAAAUAGACUAAGUAAAUUCGGCUUUAAUUGAAUUAAACUAAUCUAGAAAUGUAUCUUUAAAGGCUAUGUCCAAAUUCAGCUGAAUGGUACUUCAAUGGGCAGCUUCAUGGCUAAGGAAAUGAACUUGAAGGCUUGGUGAAUGUAUGGGAGAGCAAUGGACAUGUCUAGGUUCGGCCAAGGUGUGAAUGGACACUCCAAGAGAUGCCUUUUGGCCGAAUAGGUACUUAGGAGAUCAAUGGACAGCAACCGAUGCAUGUAAGUGAACAUUCAUGCAUUCUUCCAUUCAUUGUAUUAAAUCAUUCAUGCAUCAUCCUUACGUUCAUUGAACCAGCCCAUUCAUGAAUCAUCUUUAAUUGUGUUCCCACAUCAUGCAUUGUAAGUAGACGUUCAUGCACCUAGCUUGAAUGAAUCUCCACAUUCGGCUGUACCUAAAUGAAACAUGAACAAAUUAAUUAAAAUAGAUAUAUUAAUUAACACAUAAAUUUAAAAUAGACAAAAAUAAAGUCUUAAGCUAAACAUAUUAAAUUUGGCUAAGACAACUUUAAAAACAUGAAAUAAAUCAAAACAUAAUUAUGAGCUGUAAUAACUUAAACUAAGUUAAUAAAAUACUUUAAUUAUUCAACCAAUAAAAUAAAUGAGCUGAAUUGUAGCUAAAUUGAGCUCGAUUGAGCUGAAAUGAGCUCAAUUGAGCUGGUCGGAGUUGAAACGAGCUAGAAAAGCUAAAAUGGAGCUGAAAUUAGCUUGCACUAAGGUGCAUGGUUUCUUCAAGGAGUUGGAUCGAGCUUCCUCAUCUUCAACAAGCUGAUUCUCCUUCCAAAACUUGAACAACAAAGCUAAAACAACUUCAUGAAAUCGCUUGGACCUAGCUCGGGUCAUUGGUCCCUUUGGAAGCUCGAGGGAAUCAAGACGAGGACUUGAUGGGGCUUGGGGCGUGGUCACAUCAUUCCCCCUUCUUCAAAACGACUUGUCCUCAAGUCGAGCUGUUUAUUCUCUAGAAAAUAAUCCAUCUUUUGCAACUCUCCUUGAAUGAAUGGAACAAUUAGUCGUUCAUAAGCCUUUGCAAAAGAACUCACAAUAUUCGGCAUUAGAGAUGGCAAAUGAAUCAAUGAAAAUAGACAACCAUUAAUCAUCAAGAAAUGAUCAGAACAACUAUGUGGAUCAUGCAUGGUCAUAACAAGACAAGUAUGAGUUAUGUAAAAAGGCAAACUUAAAACAUCAUUCUUACAAUCAUAUGGACAAAACUCCUUCCAUAUCCAUAACUCAUCAAAUGGUCGAGACAAAGACAAAUAUGUUUUUAAGCAUUCAAACCUUUCAAUUUGCUUCCACAAGUCAUUGUUCAAGUAAAUGGAAUGCGAGUAAUGGAACAAGAAAUUUAAAUCUUCAUCACAAACACACAAAUGAAAAGUUUCAUAUGAUUCAUGAUUUCGCAUGUUUGGCACUCGCAAUUGUCGUUUGGUUAUGUUCUCAACAAUGAAUUCAUCACAUUUUCCAAAGAGAAAAAUCGUCUUAUCAUUACUCAAAAUGGAUUUAUCAUCAUCAAGCAAAAUCAAAUAAUUAACCACAACAGGAUUCAAACGAUUUUCAGCAAUCAAGGUGUCUUCAAAAAUUUUAGUUACAUUCGACUUAAGAGAAGAUGGUCGCAUAACAUCAGAAUUCAUACCUGAUUCACCUUUAGGAGUGGAAAAUUGAGAAUCAAUUUUACCUUUUUCAAUCAAAGUGAACCUUUUCUCCUUGAGAGGGUAUUGAAGUCGAAGCUCAUUACACAAUCCUUGAAAAACCUGAAACGAAGGGUAAACACAAAGGCAACUUGCACUUUUCGAAGUGUUGGGUUCAUAAUGCUGAAAGAGGGUAAUGUCUCCAUAGACGUUGAACUCAAAGGAACAGGCUAAAACACUAUUCACAUAUUGAACAUAUGUAACGAUACCAUGUUCAAAAACAUGAGUUGAUCUUACCUUUUCGAAAUGAAAAAUGAAUUUCAUGGACAGCCACAUAAAAUGAUCAAAGAACAAUUUUAAAUUAUAAACAGAGUCUUUAAAUUUCAGAGGCCAAACAUCAAACAGACAUAAAUUUGUCACAUAAAAUUUAGGAUGCUUGAGUUCCGCACAUAUCAACCUAAAAUAAUAAAUUCUAGGUUUGAACACACGAGUUUGAUUACUUACGCCAAAGUGUUUUAGUAAAUCAAACAUGUCAAACCAAAAGGGUUUUCGUGUCCAUAGAAACAAACAUUCAAAUCUCUUUAUAUUCAUCAAAUCAAACUUGCACAAAUUCAUGGAUUUGUCACAUGACAAUAAUGGAUGCACAAAAUUAUCAUAUUUGAAAAAUUGAAUCGCUUUUCGUGAAAACCCGACAUCAUGCAAAACCAAAUCUUUAGUUUGUCAUUCGUACCGAACAACAUCAACCACAUUCAAAGAAUAGAAAUUAAUCGAAUGAAAAUAAGAGAAUUUUUUUAAAACAAAGUCAUUUUCAACAACUUUCAAACUUGAUGGCCAUGACUCGGUGAUACGAGGUUGCGCGCGGACCAAGAUCGAGUUGCCAAGUCACGGGAAACUCCUACGAAAACCCUAAACAAUUAGAUCUGAAACGAAACAGAAAAUUAAAAGAUUAGAUUUUUGAAUUUUCAGAUCUGAAAUAAAAUCCCCAAAUCAGCAAAGAAUCAAAUUGAGAAUAGAAAUAAGUGUUAGGGUUCUUGAAACCCUCAAGGAGAUUGUGAUUCUGCCCAAUUGAACACCAAGAUAGUUUUCCCCAAAUUUCGACAAUCUAAUUUCACCCAAAAAGAGUAUGGAAAAACCCUAGAAAUUGGGGAUUUUUGGGCUGAUUCCUUAAGAUAGAAAAAGGCUGAAAACACAAUAAGAACAGAAAAUAGAUUAGAUAAUGAUUCAGCACAAGUAGAAAUAAAGAAAGAAUUGACAGUAAGAAAUUAAAAGAUAAGUCCUAAGAAGCCUUGAAAUCUCGAAAGAUCUCACAACUCCCUUCAAACGGCUCUAAUCUCCCCUCCAAAGAAUAUCAAUGGCAAGAAGAAGGUUGAAGAUGGCUCCCACAAUCAAAAAGAUUGUUAAAACAACUUCUAAAGAAAACUCAAGAGAAAAUCCUUGAAGAACUCAAAGAGAAUUUUCACUCAAAUCAAAUCUGAAAUUUUCAAUGUAAUUGUAAUGUAAUGUAGGGUGGCUGGCCAAGCCAUAUAAAUAGGCCUUUCAAAUGUUUUCCUAAUUUAAUUAGAACACUAAAACUAAAACUAAAAAAAAAAACUCCUAAUUAUUUUAAUAUGGAAAUUCGGCCAAGGGUCUUUUAUUUGGGACUCUUGGACUGAAUAUAAAAAUUUAAACUAAGUAAAAUAAAUAAAUAAAAAAAUAAAACUUUACAACUUGGGCCACUUUGACAAUUUGGCCUGAUUUUCAACUAAGUAUGGGUGGAUUUCUUGAUUGGGCUUGGAAGAAUUUGCUUAUUGAGCCUCGCCUUCAAGAAUUUGGGCUUUUGUGACUCGUAUCAUUCCCCCCUUCCUCAAAAAGAUUCGUCCUCGAAUCUGAAAAAUCAAAUGAACUCGACUUUCCUCUAUCGAACGGGACUAAUGGCAAUUGAGUCCACUGAGAAGAAUAGCCAUGAGAUAGUAAAUAGCAACGGAAAUAAGCUUGUAGUCCAAUCAUAAGCAUAAUAGAACAGGUAUAACGCAUGUGAAUGGACAGAUUCAGAUUACCAUGCAAACAAUCUAAUUUACUCACCACUGCCUCGUCAAAUAUUUGAAACAAAGAUGGACAUGUUUUAAGGCAUUCAGUGGUCUCACAUUGUUCCCACAAACCAUGAAUAAAUUGCGAGUAAUAAAUCAAAUGGUAAACAUAAUCGUCACAAGUAGGUAUUUGAAAAGAUUCACAUGGUUCACAGAGUUGCAUAAUCAUACCAUGCAUUAAUCGACGGUCUAUAGAUUCACUCACACAUGCAUUAUCAAAAACAAGAAUCUUUUUAUCAACCAUCAAAACAGAUAGAUCAUCAAUAAAUAAAAUAGGACAGUCAAGCACGUUUCGAUCUAAGUGUUCAUCAACACGAUCUUUAUCACUAUCCGAGGAGUACAAAAGUGUUUCAAAGGUUUCAAGCAUCUUACCUCGAUAAGCAGAAGAAUAAGGGUCGAUUUUACCUUUUUCAUUUAAAACAAACCUUCGCUCAUCGGGGGCAUAGUGUAGUCGAAUCUCCGUUGUUGAGUUAACCUUUGUCAAAUGGAACUCAAACUUCAUGUACAACCACAUAAACUGUUUAAGGCACGAAUAUAAAUUGAAAACAAAUUUGGAAAAUUUCGUUACUUUAUUCUCCAAAACAGAUUUGGACAAAUUCAAGGAUUUUACACAAGGUAAAUCAAGAGAAUAACAAAUCACGCUUCUUUUCGUAAUGACUUUAUCAACCACAAUCGAAGAGUAACAAUUAAUCGGAUCAAAAUGAGGGGAUCUUUUAAGAACUAAGUCACCAAAAGUUUUAUCAAUAAUUUUCAAAUCUGCACUGGACUCGGUUUCUAAAAUUUCCUUACCUCGCUUACCUUCGGGAUCAUGUAGUGUGAUUUCAUCUUUGCCUAAGUUGAUCGUAUGAAAGUGUCUUUCAUUUGAGAGGUAUUGAAGUUGAAAGUUAUCUUUCGAUCUUUCGGGAACCUGAAAAGUAGCAACACAAGAAAAAUUCAUAUCUUGGUUAGUGGAAACAUUCCUCACUACCCUUUCCACGUCUUUUUCUUUUGUUUCUUUUUCUAAUUCAUUUUCUCUUCUUUCUUCAAUUUCUUUUUCACUCUCAAUCUCUUUUUGCUCUUUUUCAUUCUCUUUUUCUUUUUCCUCACUUGUUUUAACAGAAUUUUUCAGUUUGAUUUGGUCCUCAUGGACUUGUUCCGAAGUGAGCGGCACUAAGGUGAGUUUCUUUCCUUGAUGCUUGAAAGAAUACCUAUUGGUACGACCAUCGUGAGUGACUUUUCGAUCCAGUUGCCAUGGUUCUCCUAGCAAUAAAUGGCAGGCUUGAAUAGGCAUUACGUCGCACACAACUUCGUCUUGAUACUUACCGAUAGAAAAGGCGAUGCGCACUUGUUGAGUGACCCUAAAUUGGCCUUCGUUGCUAAGCCCUUGUAGUUGAUAAGGUUGUGGAUGCUUGGUAGUGGUUAAGCAAAGCUUUUCCACCAUCGUCGUGCUGGCUAUGUUUGAGCAACUUUCACAAUCAAUAAUAACUCUACAAAGCUUACCUUGUACAUGGCAGCGAGUAUGAAAGAGAUGUUCUCGUUGCUGCUUGCUCUUUGGUUUUGCCAAAGAUGAUUGUCCACGAUCAUGAAAAUCAUCAUCCAUUCUAGGGACACGUUGAGGGCUGCACCUAUGGGGCUGGUUAUCCCUAUCUUCCUUAAUUGGAUCUCGAUAUUGAUGUUUUUGAUUCACUCGUACCUCAUUCAAAGUAGUAUUCAAUGCUUGAAGUGUAGCAUUUAUUUGUGUGAUUGCAGCAGUAUGUCCGUCUAACUGUUGUUGGACUUUCAUAAGUGCAUCAUUAUUAUCACCUUUAGACAUCUUCAAAACUGUAAAAAAUAAACACUCAACACUCAAAAAUAAAAGUUAGCAAACCUCACCAUUAAUCACUCAAAAAGAAAAAUCAAAUUCUCAAUGAGGUCGAAUUCAAUCUUGUGAGUUCUUUAUCAGAGUUUAUAUCAACCAAUUAGAGAGUGUGAACCAAACUACCAAAGAAUCCUAAUUUGCACUAGGAUGCCAAAAACUGACGAGACACCAAGUGAUUCGUGUUGCACCGAGGAAGGAUUGUGCACACGUUUAAAUCCUACUAACACAAGAAACAAGAAGGUGUUAGAUAUUGUAAAAGGAGAAUAAAAAGCAAACAAAUGAAAACCUACAGCUAAGAAUCAAUAAAAAUUGCUGAAAACAGAAAACCCGAAAAACUACGGAGUAACUUGACAACUUCGUUCGAGGUGUUCCCGAUCUCCAAAAAUCACGAAAUUAAAUCUGGAGUGUCCUUAUAUAUUGAAUUUUCGAUCUGGAAAUUUUGGGCACCAAAUUCAACCCGCUGAAUCUUUUUUUAAAUUUUUAUUGAAUUUCGUAUUUUUGAUUUUUUUAACUUUUUUGACUGAUUUUUUUGCGGGAAUAAUUUUUUUAUAUUCAAUCACAGUGCCAAAAACAUGUAUGUAAAAUUUCAGAUCAAUAGGACAACGUUUACCCACUCAAAUGAAUUUUUUUUUGAACAAUUUUUUCUGGGUAAAACUGCUGUUUAUGCUUUAAAAAAUAAAGAUCAGUUUAGAAAUCAACCAAGAACACUCAAAACGCCCAAAAUCUGAUACCAAAUGAUACGGGGUUGCGCGCGGACCAAGAUCGAGUUGCCAAGUCACGGGAAACUCCUACGAAAACCCUAAACAAUUAGAUCUGAAACGAAACAGAAAAUUAAAAGAUUAGAUUUUUGAAUUUUCAGAUCUGAAAUAAAAUCCCCAAAUCAGCAAAGAAUCAAAUUGAGAAUAGAAAUAAGUGUUAGGGUUCUUGAAACCCUCAAGGAGAUUGUGAUUCUGCCCAAUUGAACACCAAGAUAGUUUUCCCCAAAUUUCGACAAUCUAAUUUCACCCAAAAAGAGUAUGGAAAAACCCUAGAAAUUGGGGAUUUUUGGGCUGAUUCCUUAAGAUAGAAAAAGGCUGAAAACACAAUAAGAACAGAAAAUAGAUUAGAUAAUGAUUCAGCACAAGUAGAAAUAAAGAAAGAAUUGACAGUAAGAAAUUAAAAGAUAAGUCCUAAGAAGCCUUGAAAUCUCGAAAGAUCUCACAACUCCCUUCAAACAGCUCUAAUCUCCCCUCCAAAGAAUAUCAAUGGCAAGAAGAAGGUUGAAGAUGGCUCCCACAAUCAAAAAGAUUGUUAAAACAACUUCUAAAGAAAACUCAAGAGAAAAUCCUUGAAGAACUCAAAGAGAAUUUUCACUCAAAUCAAAUCUGAAAUUUUCAAUGUAAUUGUAAUGUAAUGUAGGGUGGCUGGCCAAGCCAUAUAAAUAGGCCUUUCAAAUGUUUUCCUAAUUUAAUUAGAACACUAAAACUAAAACUAAAAAAAAAAACUCCUAAUUAUUUUAAUAUGGAAAUUCGGCCAAGGGUCUUUUAUUUGGGACUCUUGGACUGAAUAUAAAAAUUUAAACUAAGUAAAAUAAAUAAAUAAAAAAAUAAAACUUUACAACUUGGGCCACUUUGACAAUUUGGCCUGAUUUUCAACUAAGUAUGGGUGGAUUUCUUGAUUGGGCUUGGAAGAAUUUGCUUAUUGAGCCUCGCCUUCAAGAAUUUGGGCUUUUGUGACUCGUAUCACUCGGUUUUUAAAACUUCCUUACCUCGCUUACCUUCAAGCUCGUGUGGUUUGAUUUCAACUUCAUCCUUACCUUUUUUGGUCAUGCAAAAACGUCGCUCGUUAGGAAGAUAUUGAAGUUGAUAUUCGUCACAGAGAUUUGUCGAAACCUGAAAAGAAGGAACAGAACAAAAACAAACAUCACGGGGGUUAGUUAAAAUUUCGUUCUCCUUUUCUUGUUCUCGCUCACUAUCUUCAUUUUCUCUCGUUUCUUCUUCAACAUCUUUUUCUUUUUUAAUUUUUUUCUCAAUCUCAAUUUCUUUUUCAAUUUUCUUUUCUUCAUUUUCUUUUUCACUCGCAAUUUUGAUUUCUUUUUCUUUUUCACUACAAUGUGCGGAUGACACGAAAGAAUCAAAGAGAUAAUCAUUUGGCUCAAAGAAAGAGAAAAUAUUUUCAUAAGCUUCUCGUCCAUUUCUUCGAGAACAAUCCUUUGGGAAGGACUUCUUUGAAGCAUACGAGGAAUAGCUCGUCCUUUCUCGCUCAUCUCGAGUGAUUUUUGACUCGAAGUUUUCUUCUCGCGGUCUCGAAAGCCUUGUUGAAUAGGAGUCUUGAUAUGUGUCUCUUCUCGAAUAAUGUCGUCGUGAUGAACUUAACUCUAUUUCUUGACUCGGUGGAGUUUGCUUCCGUCGGGCUUUUUCCUCCACUCGGUCCAAACGUCUUUUUAAUGGGCUUAGUUUUUCCUCCAAUAUUCGGCCCAUCUCGUUCACCAAGUAUUGAAAUUCAUCGGUAGAGAAUUCUUCUUGAGACAUGAUUCAAGAAAAUGUUUGAAAAUUGAAAGAUAGAAUAAAUAGUAAAUGAACCUCACCAAUUCAAAAUCCUCACCAAUCUCUCACAAAGAAAUAAUGAUUUUCACUCGCACUCGUGUUUACACUCUUCUAGGCUUUUUCUUUGAUGUAAAACACACGUGCCUUUUACCUCUUGACCUCGUCUCACAAUUUCGUAAUUCGUCUCGAUAGACUUAAUUUGCUGCUUGAGGGUCGGUUUCAAAAUAGGUUACAAAGGAAUGAUGUGGGUGUAGGGUAGGCUAAACAAAAUAAAAUCAAGGCUAAGUGUGGCGUUGGGAUGGGUAAAUAAUGGUAGGAAGGGAAACUUGAUGAUCGGAGCAAAUAAGAGAGAAAAAAAAAUAAAAUAAAAACUCGCAAAACUUUUCACUUUUUUUUAACUUGAUUUUUUUGCUCACCUUUUUUUUCUCGAUUUUUUUUUCAUUUUUUUUCAAUCAAUUUUUUUUCGAAUUUUUUUUGAUUUUUUUUGUUACUCCAAUACAAUAGUAAGCUAAAUACAAGGGAAAAAAAUUAAAUUACAACUCAAAUUUUUUUUUUGAUUUUUUUUCACGUUUCGAACUUACUUGCGGCUUUAUUACGAACGUCGGCGCUCCUCGUUUUAGUAGCUCUGAUACCAAAUGAUGUGAUCCGGCCCGAUUAAUUGAGUCGGGUUCACUUAAGAUGCCCGAUCGUCGAUGAGAAGCUCGUUCAAAUUUGUAGAUAGAUGGAGUUUGAAUGUUUUAUAAGCGGAAGGUAGGCAAAAUGGGUUCAAAGGAUGGGUUUUGGUUUGAUGAAAGAUAGGUUCGGUUUAGCAAAGAAUUAAUUUACAAAGAUGUUAAAUAAAUGGAAAUGGUUAAAGAACUCAAACUUUAAGAAUGAUUCAAUACUAAAAAGUAUUGCCCCGAGUCUUAUAUUGCUUAAGGUGAAUUUUGUUGAAGGAUAGAAGCGGACCUUGACCCGUUACCUAUAUGGAGGUAAGAACCAAAGGUAUAGGAAGAUGGUUGAACGCCACACCGAUUCGGUAAUAAGUUCAAUGGAGUUCGGAUUGACACCACUAGCAAGCUAGAUAAGUCGCUUCGAGACUCGAACGAAAGAAGAGAGGAGGUGAUACGAGUCACAAAAGCCCAAAUUCUUGAAGGCGAGGCCCAAUAAGCAAAUUCCCAGCCCAAUCAAGAAAUCCAUCCAUACUUAGUUGAAAAUCAGGCCAAAUUGUCAAAGUGGCCCAAGUUGUAAAGUUUUAUUUUUAUUUAUUUAUUUAUUUAUUUACUUAGUUUAAAUUUUUAUGUCAAUAUUCAGUCCAAUAGUCCCAGAUAAAAUGACCUUUGACCGAAUUUCCAUAUUAAAAUAAUUAGGAGUUUUUUUAUUUUAGUUUUCUAAUUAGAUUAGGACUAGUUAUAAUGCUUAUUUAAAGGCAUGGCUGUCCACCUUGUAAAACACUUAUCAUUAUUAUUAAAAUUUCAGAUUUGUUGAGAGCAGAAUUUUCUUUGAGUUUUCUCCAAGAUUUCUCUCUUGAGUUUUCUUUAGAAGUUGUUUUAACAAUCUUGUGAUUGUAGGAGCCAUCUUCAACCUUCUUCUUACCAUUGAUAUUCUUUGGAGGGGAGAUUAGAGCCGUUUGAAGGGAGUUGUGAGAUCUUUCGAGAUUUCAAGGCUUCUUAGGACUUAUCUUUUAAUUUCUUACUGUCAAUUCUUUUUUUAUUUCUACUUGUGCUGAAUCAUUAUCUAAUCUAUUUUCUGUUCUUAUUGUGUUUUCAGCCUUUUUCUAUCUUAAGGAAUCAGCCCAAAAAUCCCCAAUUUCUAGGGUUUUUCCAUACUCUUUUUGGGUGAAAUUAGAUUGUCGAAAUUUGGGGAAAACUAUCUUGGUGUUCAAUUGGGCAGAAUCACAAUCUCCUUGAGGGUUUCAAGAACCCUAACACUUAUUUCUAUUCUCAAUUUGAUUCUUUGCUGAUUUGGGGAUUUUAUUUCAGAUCUGAAAAUUCAAAAAUCUAAUCUUUUAAUUUUCUGUUUCGUUUCAGAUCUAAUUGUUUAGGGUUUUCGUAGGAGUUUCCCGUGACUUGGCAACUCGAUCUUGGUCCGCGCGCAAUCCUGUAUCAGGAGGUAACCUCACAAGAACAAAAGUUCUAUUAAGUUUAAUUGAUCAAAUUCUGUAACCUUUUUACAAAGAGAAAAGAACUAUUUAUAGAUUACAUUAGAUAGCCAAAUAGACUAAGUAAAUUCGGCUUUAAUUGAAUUAAACUAAUCUAGAAAUGUAUCUUUAAAGGCUAUGUCCAAAUUCAGCUGAAUGGUACUUCAAUGGGCAGCUUCAUGGCUAAGGAAAUGAACUUGAAGGCUUGGUGAAUGUAUGGGAGAGCAAUGGACAUGUCUAGGUUCGGCCAAGGUGUGAAUGGACACUCCAAGAGAUGCCUUUUGGCCGAAUAGGUACUUAGGAGAUCAAUGGACAGCAACCGAUGCAUGUAAGUGAACAUUCAUGCAUUCUUCCAUUCAUUGUAUUAAAUCAUUCAUGCAUCAUCCUUACGUUCAUUGAACCAGCCCAUUCAUGAAUCAUCUUUAAUUGUGUUCCCACAUCAUGCAUUGUAAGUAGAUGUUCAUGCACCUAGCUUGAAUGAAUCUCCACAUUCGGCUGUACCUACAUGAAACAUGAACAAAUUAAUUAAAAUAGAUUUAUUAAUUAACACAUAAAUUUAAAAUAGACAAAAAUAAAGUCUUAAGCUAAACAUAUUAAAUUCGGCUAAGACAACUUUAAAAACAUGAAAUAAAUCAAAACAUAAUUAUGAGCUGUAAUAACUUAAACUAAGUUAAUAAAAUACUUUAAUUAUUCAACCAAUAAAAUAAAUGAGCUGAAUUGUAGCUAAAUUGAGCUCGAUUGAGCUGAAAUGAGCUCAAUUGAGCUGGUCGGAGUUGAAACGAGCUAGAAAAGCUAAAAUGGAGCUGAAAUUAGCUUGCACUAAGGUGCAUGGUUUCUUCAAGGAGUUGGAUCGAGCUUCCUCAUCUUCAGCAAGCUGAUUCUCCUUCCAAAACUUGAACAACAAAGCUGAAACAACUUCAUGAAAUCGCUUGGACCUAGCUCGGGUCAUUGGUCCCUUUGGAAGCUCGAGGGAAUCAAGACGAGGACUUGAUGGGGCUUGGGGCGUGGUCACAUCACCAUCUAAGGGAACUUGAAAUGAAAUAGGAUAUGCUAUGUCUGGAGAUAUGAGAGUAGAACCACCUCUUAUAUAAGACACUGCUUUAAAAGGGAUCUAUCCCGAUUCUUGAACAAGAACCAUGACAUGAGAUCCUUCUUAUUAUAUGUAAAUUCCUUCUGUCUUGAGCCUUCCACCAGCUCUCUAAGAACCUCUUUAUUUGCCCAAUCCUUUUACUUAAUGUAAUGCCCUAUUCCUUUCGAGUUAGGAUCUCGAUUAGCCUCUUCUAUUUAAUAAAAUAAUAAAAGGCAAAUUGCCUUCAUUCCCCUUCUAUUCCCAAGAGCUGAUUCCAUAGGAGCGCAUUCUUCCUUUAUUGAUUCAAAAACCUUCUUGCUAACCGCCCUUAUCCCGCAAAGAGCUUAAGCUUAUUCUCUUCCUCGACGUGCCAAAGCCCCAUAUAAUGUAAAAUUGGAUGCUUCCUCUACUUCCCCUGCGACUCCUAUUGCUAUUACGACUCCUAUUAAUUUUCUUGAUUUGAGCCCAUCACCUUCUUGAGCUUAGGUUGGGCCUUUGUGACUCGUAUCAUUCCCCCCUUCCUCAAAAAGAUUCAUCCUCGAAUCUGAAAAAUCAAAUGAACUCGACUUUCCUCUAUCGAACGGGACUAAUGGCAAUUGAGUCCACUGAAAAGAAUAGCCAUGAGAUAGUAAAUAGCAAUGGAAACAAGCUUGUAGUCCAAUCAUAAGCAUAACAGAACAGGUAUAACGCAUGUGAAUGGAUAGAUUCAGAUUACCAUGCAAACAAUCUAAUUUACUCGCCACUGCCUCGUCAAAUAUUCGAAACAAAGAUGGACAUGUUUUUAGGCAUUCAGUCGUCUCAAAUUGUUCCCACAAACCAUGAAUAAAUUGCGAGUAAUAAAUCAAAUGGUAAACAUAAUUGUCACAAGUAGGUAUUUGAAAAGAUUCACAUGGUUCACAGAGUUGCAUAAUCAUACCAUGCAUUAAUCGACGGUCUAUAGAUUCAGUCACACAUGCAUUAUCAAAAACAAGAAUCUUUUUAUCAACCAUCAAAACAGAUAGAUCAUCAAUAAAUAAAAUAGGACAGUCAAGCACGUUUCGAUCUAAGUGUUCAUCAACACGAUCUUUAUCACUAUCCAAGGAGUACAAAAGUGUUUCAAAGGUUUCAAGCAUCUUACCUUGAUAAGCAGAAGAAUAAGGGUCGAUUUUACCUUUUUCAUUUAAAACAAAUCUUCGCUCAUCGGGGGCAUAGUGUAUUCGAAGCUCCGUUGUUGAGUUAACUUUUGUCAAAUGGAACUCAAACUUCAUGUACAACCUCAUAAACUGUUUAAGGCACGAAUAUAAAUUGAAAACAAACUUGGCAAAUUUCGUUACCUUAUUCACCACAACAGAUUUGCACAAAUUCGAGGAUUUUACAUAAGGCAAAUCAAGAGAAUAACAACUCACGCUUUCUUUCGUAAUGACUUUAUCAACCACAAUCGAAGAAUAACAAUUAAUCGGAUCAAAAUGAAGGGAUCUUUUAAGAACUAAGUCACCAAAUGUUUUAUCAAUAAUUUUCAAAUCUGCACGGGACUCAGUUGCUAAAAAUUCCUUACCUCGCUUACCUUCAGGCUCAUGUAGUGUGAUUUCAUCUUCAACCUUGCCUAUGUUGAUCGUAUGAAAGGUCUUUCAUCAGAAAGGUAUUGAAUUUGAAAGUUAUCUUUCGUAUGUGGCCAAUGGAAGUGUUCUAUCCCACGUAAAGGUGGUAAACCUUUAGGGGUCUUACUAAAAACAUCCUCAUAAUCCUGCAAAAAACAUUGAAACACACUAGGCAAAUUUUCGUUAAUGUUAGAUAAAGAUAAAUAGUUUUGCCUAAACCUCACAAGGAUAUAAGGUUGUUUAUUGAGUAGGGCUCUCCGCACAUCUUUUUUUGUUGCCAUCAAAUUUUUCACUCUCAUUUUACCACUUGCGGAUUCACACCCCUUUGGGCUAUUUAGAUUUUGACUUUUUUCACUACUAGCUUCUUUUCUCUCUGUCUUUUGUAUUUGUCCUUUCUCCCUUACCCCCUCACAAAAUUUCAUCAUUUUUAAUUGAUCCUUAUAUACAUCAUUGGGAUCUAAAGGAGCAAAACUGAAUUUUUGGCCUUUAAACACAAGAGAGUACCUAUUGAGCUUGCCUUGGUGUGUAGCAUCACGAUCAAACUGCCAAGGUCAUCCAAGGAGCAAGUGUGUCGCAUGCAUUGGGACCACAUCACACCAUGCAUUGAGCAAGUGUGUUCAAGAAGAUGAAAUCUGAUUAGUUACUUGUUAAUUUUAUUAGUUACUUGUUAGAUUAGGAUUACUUGAGGCCUAUUUAAAGAUUACUUUUUGCCGAAUCUUCCAAUUAAAAAUCUGAUUGUUUCAAUCUACUUACUGUUUUGGUGUUCUUGGCAGAUUCGGCUUGUGGGAUUUCACUAUUGGAGUUCGAUUUCAUCUUCUUGAACUCCGAAUACAUUUAUUCAUUCGUUCUUUGUUCCUUGCUGCUCAUUUAAUUGAAUUUGGGGAUUUAAUUUCAGAUCUGAUUAGUUUAAUCUUGUUCUUUGUUUUAAUUUUUAGAUCUGUUCGUUUAGAGCUUUCGUCGGAGUUUCCCGUGACUUGGCAACUCGAUCUUGGUCCGCGCACAACCCCGUAUCAUUUGGUAUCAGAUUUUAGGCGUUUUGGGUGUUCUUGGUUGAUUUCUAAACUGAUCUCUUUUUUUUAAUGCACAAACAACAGUUUUACCUAGAAAAAUUAUUCGAAAAAAAUUCAUUUUAUUGGGUAAACAUUGUCCGAUUGAUCUAAAAUUUUACAUACAUAUUUUUGGCACUGUGAUUGAAUAUAAAAAACUUAAUCCCCCAAAAAAAUCAGUCAAAAAAGUCAAAAAAAUCAAAAAAUACGAAAUUCAAUAGAAAUUUAAAAAAAGAGUCAGCAGGUUGAAUUUGGUGCCCAAACUUUGCAGAUCAAAAAUUAAAUAUAUAAGGAUAUUCCAGAUUUAAUUUCGUGAUUUUUAGAGAUCGGGAACACUUCGAACAAAGUUGUCAAGUUACUCCGCAGUUUUUUGGGUUUUCUAUUUUCAGCAAUUUUUAUUGUGAUAUGAACUCGUCUCGUGAUGUUUUAAGUCGUAUGUGUUGCCCAAUCAUGAAUUUGAGUAAGGCUAAGUUCGUUUCUACAAAAUAGAAGAAAGGCUACAAACAAUAGUUUAAAAGGGAAAUAGGUUUAACAACGAAUGGAAAUUUUGGCUAAAGGUAGAGAAUGAACCAACAAUAGAGAUUGUUGACCCGAGUCUCAAAGUAGCUCUUAGGUGAAUGGCGAUUUAGGUAAACAACAAAGAAAAGACCUCGACCCACUAUCAAGAAUGAUAGGAACCUUGGUAUAUGAUGAACCUCGACCCACUAUCAAUGAGGAUAAGAACCUUGGUAUAUGAUGAACGCCACACUAUGAAAGUGAUAAGUUCGAAAACAAGAAAUGGAUAGACGCCACAAGCUAUGCUUGAUAAGUCAAAUCAAUUCCGAAAGAACAAAGAGAAUUGGAUAGCUCACAAUUCAAAUAUUUCAUCUAUUUUCAGCAAAAAGUUCUUUUCUCUAUGGCUGAUUACAUCUAUUUAUAAUGCUAGAACAAGGUAACCGAAUGGUCAAAAACAUCCACUUAAUGUGCCAUAAAAAACUGAUGUCUUUUCUUAUUCUUUGAACCAAAUAACUCCUUCCAUAAAAUCACUUUAAUUCAGCUGAUUUUAAUGUCUUUAAUGGCUUAGAAAAUGACUCUUGAGUUGUCCUUGGCUAGUUGAAUAGACACCAUCUCUUACCAGCUCCUUAAUGACAUUCAAAGGCUUGAUUAAUUUCUCUUAAAAGCUCCAAAAACGGCUGGAAGUGGAAGAGUUGCUGCUGAAUUUUAAAGGGCAUAAAAUGCUCUUUAAAAACUCCUUUUAAUGAUCUUUAAGCUCAUUUUUUUAACAGCCCCUUUAAUUGUAACUCAAAAGAACUUGAACAGCCACUUAUUAAAUGUGUAACAGCCUUGAAUUGUAACCACUAUAAGCUAAAAAGUCACCUGUAAUAAACACAUUAAAAUGAGUUUAUUAAACACAUUAAACACUUAUUAAUCAUAACACAUAUUAAACUUACUUAAAUAAAUGAACUAAAACAUAUAUGCAAUAAUUAUUCCAGCAACUAGUUUAAUUAAAGAAGCAUAAUUUAAAGAACUUAAUUUAUGCAUCAAUAAAUAAUCCUAGGAACUAGAUCAAUUAAGAAGCAUCUUAUUUAAUAAAGUUCAAUAACUAACUCAUGUAUUAAAACUUUAAGAUAAGUUAAAUUAAUUGAUCAGCAACUUAUUUAUUAAACUAAAACAAGUUAAUUAAAAGAAACAAAUUCAGCUUGCAAUAAAUUGCAAGUAACGCCUUUUGAACGGUUUGAAGCACGACUAUCAAAUCCGGCCACUCCUUCUUCCCAAGCUCGUUCCACAUAGCUUGCUAUUGCAUUUCAAAAUCUCUUAGCUCGUGAUCGAGUUAUUGGUCCUCGUGGCAGCUCAAUGGAUUCGGUAGUAAUUUCCCGGGCUAAGGUUGCAUCAUUCCCCCCUUUUCGAGGCGAUUUGCUCCCAAAUCAUCACCUACAUCGAAAAGAGAUAAAUCAGCAACAUUAAAAGUAGCACUAACCCCAUACUCACCAGGUAAAUCUAACUUAUAAGCGUUAUCAUUAAUUCUCUCCAAGACUUGAAAAGGUCCAUCUCCUCGUGGUAAUAGUUUGGAUCGUCUUUGAACGGGAAAUCUCUCCUUGCGCAUGUGAAUCCAAACCCAAUCACCAGGUUCAAAUAUUACUCGUUUACGGCCCUUGUUAACUUGAUGUGCAUAUUGCUCCGUUCUUCGUUCAAUAUUAUCCCUAACUCGCUGAUGUAAUUGUUUCACAAAAUCUGCCUUUUUCUUUCCAUCUACAUGCACCAAUUUAUCAAAAGGUAAAGGCAAUAAAUCUAAUGGAGUUAAGGGAUUAAAUCCAUACACUACCUCAAAUGGUGAAAACUUGGUAGUUGAAUGUACCGAUCGAUUGUAUGCAAAUUCAAUGUGAGGUAGACACUCCUCCCAAGUUUUUAAAUUCUUACGUAUAAUGGCCCGCAGUAGUGUUGACAGAACUCUAUUAACAACCACUGUUUGGCCAUCAGUUUGGGGAUGACUUGUUGUGGAAAAUAAUAGCUUAGUUCCAAUCUUUCCCCAUAAAGUCCUCCAAAAGUGGCUGAGAAAUUUAGUGUCUCGAUCCGAAACAAUAGUUCUUGGAAUUCUAUGCAAUCGUACAAUCUCCCUAAAAAAUAGAUUGGCAACAUUUAAAGCAUCGUCAGUUUUGUUACAUGCAAUGAAAUGAGCCAUUUUUGAAAACCGAUCAACUACAACAAACACAGAAUCUUUGCCAUUCUUUGUUCUAGGAAGACCCAAAACAAAGUCCAUAGAAAUAUCCGUCCAUGGCAUUUCUGGAAUUGGUAAUGGAGUAUAGAGUCCAUGAGGCUGGACCCUUGAUUUCGCCUUCUUGCAAACAAUACAGCGAUUGCACACUUUAGCCACAUCACGUUUCAUCUUUGGCCAAUAAAAGUGUUCUUGAAGAACAGCCAAAGUUUUGGCAAUACCAAAAUGAUAAAGGGUUGCGCGCGGACCAAGAUCGAGUUGCCAAGUCACGGGAUACUCCUACGAAAGAUCCUNNNNNNNNNNNNNNNNNNNNNNNNNNNNNNNNNNNNNNNNNNNNNNNNNNNNNNNNNNNNNNNNNNNNNNNNNNNNNNNNNNNNNNNNNNNNNNNNNNNNNNNNNNNNNNNNNNNNNNNNNNNNNNNNNNNNNNNNNNNNNNNNNNNNNNNNNNNNNNNNNNNNNNNNNNNNNNNNNNNNNNNNNNNNNNNNNNNNNNNNNNNNNNNNNNNNNNNNNNNNNNNNNNNNNNNNNNNNNNNNNNNNNNNNNNNNNNNNNNNNNNNNNNNNNNNNNNNNNNNNNNNNNNNNNNNNNNNNNNNNNNNNNNNNNNNNNNNNNNNNNNNNNNNNNNNNNNNNNNNNNNNNNNNNNNNNNNNNNNNNNNNNNNNNNNNNNNNNNNNNNNNNNNNNNNNNNNNNNNNNNNNNNNNNNNNNNNNNNNNNNNNNNNNNNNNNNNNNNNNNNNNNNNNNNNNNNNNNNNNNNNNNNNNNNNNNNNNNNNNNNNNNNNNNNNNNNNNNNNNNACGCCAAACGGUAUUGAUUCGUCGAUUUAGUUUGCGAAGAACUUUGAGAGGCAAAAAUCGAGUGGACAAAAAGGCAAGAGUGAUUGGUGAGACCAUUCGAGAGAAGUAAAAACCAUAUUGUGUGAAUUUUAUUUGUGAGAGAAGUGUGAGUUUUGUUGUGUGAUUAAAAAAAAUGUCUCAAGAAGAAUUUUUCGAAUCAGAAUUCCAAUAUUUGAUGCAAGAAAUGCGUAGAAUGGUGAAAUCAAACUUUGAUAAAUUGCAUGAUAGAUUGGAUCGAAUAGAGACAAGAGCCCAACAAAAGCAAAUUUCAUUGAGUCAAGAGACGGAGUUAAGAUCAUCCCGACGAUACUACUCGACAAGGGGCUCUUAUCAAGACGUCUAUUCAACAAGGCAUUCGAGACCAAGAGAAGCAAACUCCGAGUUUGAGUCCUUCUGAGAUGAUAUACGAAAAGGUAAUCAUGUCUCUACAAGUGCCUCAAUUUAUUCAUCUACGAAUGAUUAUUUACGAAGAGGCGAACGUGUUUCAAGAGUGUCAAAGUACUCGAAUACGGAGGGUUAUUCACAAAGAGAUGAUCGUGACUUGCAUGAUGAAUCUGCCAUUUCUUUCGAACGAGAAGCUUGUCGUUAUGGUUCUUAUAAGUUAUCAUCUUCUUGUAAUGAAAGAACAAGACAAAAAGAAAAUAGAAGAAAAGAAAAACAAGAGAUGUUGAUGCAAGAAAAUGAACGAAUCUUGAAUGAAAUUGAGAGAAGAAAAAAAGAAAUGAGAGGAAAAGAAAAAGAAUAAAAGAAAAAGAUGAAAAUGAGAUUCCAAAAACAAAAGAGAGUGAAAAGCAAAAAGAGAUUGAAAAAGAAAUUGAAAAAGAAGAAAAAGAAAGAGUGGAAAAAGAAAUUGAAAGAGAGCUUGAACAGAAAUUGAGUGGAAAAGAAAAAGAGUUUGCAAAAGAAAAUAGUGAAAGAGAUGAGAGAGAACAAGAAAAAGUGAGCGUUGUUUUUACUAACCCACAUGUGAGUUGUUCUUGUUCUAUUUCUUCUUUUCAGAUUUCUAAAGAUUCGUGUGACGAUUUUCAAUUACAAUACUUCCCUGAUGAGAGGCGAUUCAAGUUGAUUCAGAAAGGUAAGAACAUAGAAGACCCUUGUCCACCGGCACAUAAAGGUAAGAAAGGUGAGGGAUCUAUGCCGUGUGAGUCUCCAUUUUUCCACUUGAACGUUUGUGAUAAUAUUGAUGAUGAUUUAGUCUUUGAAAAGGUUUCAUGUCUUGACAUGGCUAAUUGUCAUUCUUUGUUUGAUGAUAAUUUUAUUUUAAAUGGAGGCAUGAAGAGUUGUGUAUUUGACGUGUUUCGUGUUGAAAAUUUUGUUGAUGAUAUUGGAUUAUUUCAGCUUGUGCAAACUUUGGACGUGCGAGAUUGGAGGUAUCCACAUAAAAGGUUUGAUUUAGUCAAUUGUCAUGGUUAUGUGAAUCAUUUAUAUUCUUAUACGAAAUCCUUUUGUAUAAGCAUGCCUGUGAGAAUGAAAUUUUUACUGCACUAUGGAAUAAGUGAUCAAAAUUGUGAGUUCAAACCUGGAAUUUGCUAUGUUGACUCGUUUUAUGGGAAACUUGGGCAUUCCAAACUUAGUGCAAAUAAUUUGAUUGAUGCUGUGGAUUUUGAAAAAUAUUUGUAUCCUGACGCAAAUGAUUGUUUUCCUUUGGUUAGCCUUGAAGUAUAUGUUUUGAACGAUGAAUGCAAGAAUAAAGUUAGUACAAAUUGCGAUGCUGAUCUGCAAACAAAUGAAAUUUUGUCCCAAUUCCAAUUCGUCCCGUUCGACCGAGGAAAGCUAAGUAAAAGUUGCUGCGAUCGAGUGAACCAAUGGCUCGACUUGAGAACAAGUCGUUCUAAAGAAGGGGGUGAUACGACCCUGCCUCGAAAACAUCCUUGGUUCAGUUCAUCAGGCGACAAUCGCAAAUUCUUGCAAGUUGAUCGAGAUUGUUUCAGUUCAAUGGAGCUCAAAUUUGAUCUAAUUUCAGCUCAUUAAAUUUGAACUUCAAUUUAUUUUAACUUAUGCUUUUAAAUAGUUGCUGGAAUAAAUUAAGUUCAUUAGUUAGUUUAUUAAUUUCAGCAUGCACAUGAUUUAAUUUGGGUCUAAUAAUUUUUAUAUUAAAUUUGCUUUAUUUAGUAUAUGAUUUAAUUAUGUUUUCAAUUAGUACACAUUAAUUUGUCAUAGGUUAAGGCAUGCAUUUAAUUUGUCUAUGUUUCAGCCGAAUUUAUUAUGUCUUAUUGAUGACUUAAUGUGCUUGAAGUCCAGCCGAAAUUAAUAUAUUAAUUAACUUCAUGCAUGAGUUAAUUAUGUAUUAAAGAAGGCUGCCGAAUUUAAUGAGGGGUUAAUUUAAGUCCAGCCGAAUUUUAUUGUCUUUAGAUGCAUUAUUUGACCGAAUUUAUUUUGUGUCUGCAGGUCAUUGAAUUCGGCUACUUAAUGGCUAAGGAGACAUGCAUUUAAGGUGCUGUUAACAUGCAAGGAACGGCAUUUAAAGAAGGUCAUUGAAAUUCGGCUAUUUAAUGGCAAAGGAAACAUGCAUUAAGGAGAUGUUCCCAUGCAUGGAACGGUAUUUAAAGGGAAGUAAAAACAUGAAUUAAAUGAGGUGUUCCCAUGAAUUGACGGCAUUAAUUAGUUGCUGGAGCUUGCAUGCAUGGCAUUAAUUAGUUAAUUUUUCGUGUUCAACAGCAGCAAUAAAGGAGUUGCUGGUGCUUUUUCAUAUGGCCAUUUAAUGGACGAAAUUAAUUGUAUUGUGCAGCAAAGGAGCUGUCCAGCAUGCGUGGGAUGGUCAUAAAGGAGAUGCUGAAUUUCUCCUCCAUGCAUGGACAUCAUUUAAAGAAGAGUUGUUGUUUUCUAUUUCCCAUGAGCCAUUUUCGUGUUCCUCAAAUGCCAUAAAGGUGCCGCCCAAUUGAGAGAAUGAAUGAGCAGUAUUUAAAAGGGGAGUUGCUGAUGCGAUCCCGGUCGCAUCAUGUUACGACACAACUCGAUGCUACCGAGAUUGGCCCAAACUCGAGGGGCCCAAUUGCAAAAUGAAGUUUUUAAUUUCAGUUUGUCAAUUUGGCAGUUGGAAAAUAAGGACUUUGAUUCAUUAAUUUUUAGUUAUUUUAGUUUGUGUUUUUAAUUAUGUCAUAGUUUGCACAUCAUUAAUAUGUGUUCUGCAUUUAAUAAAGUCAUGCAUUAUGUAACUUUCAUGUUAGUUAAGUUUGCAUCAUUAAAUUAAGUCAAGUUAGAUUAAUUAUGUAACUUUCAUGUUAGUUAAAUUUGCAUUUCAAAACCAUGCAUUUAAGCAUCUUAGUUUAAUAAAUGAGUUGCUGGACAUUUAUUCAACUCAUCUUAGUUUUAAUUAAUAAGUGUUUUUGUUGAACCUUAUUUAAUAAGUGUUGUUCUUAAUUAAUCUAGUUCCUAGGAUUAUUUAUUGAUGCAUGAGUUAAGUUCAUUUAAUUAUGCUUCUUUAAUUAAACUAGUUGCUGGAAUAAUUAUUGCAUAUAUGUUUUAGUUCAUUUAUUUAAGUAAGUUUAAUGUUUGUUAUGAUUAAUAAGUGUUUUCAUUUGUUUAAUAAACUCAUUUUAAUGUGUUUAUUGCAGGUGACUUUUUAGCUUAUAGUGGUUACAAUUCAAGGCUGUUACACAUUUAAUUAAGUGGUUGUUCAAGUUCUUUUGAGUUACAAUUAAAGGGGCUAUUAUAAAGGGAGCUUAAAAUCAUUAAAGGAGUUUUUAAAGAGCAUUUUAUGCCCUUUAAAAUUUAGCAGCAACUCUUCCACUUCCAGCCGUUUUUGGAGCUUUCAAGAGAAAUUAAUCAAGCCUUUGAAUGUCAUUAAGGAGCUGGUUAAGAGAUGGUGUCUAUUCAACUAGCCAAGAACAACUCAAGAGUCAUUUUCUAAGCCAUUAAAGACAUUCAAAUCAGCUGAAUUAAAGUGAUUUUAUGGAAGGAGUUAUUUGGUUCAAAGAAUAAGAAAAGACAUCAGUUUUUAUGGCACAUUAAGUGGAUGUUUUUGACCAUUCGGUUACCUUGUUUUAGCAUUAUAAAUAGAUGUAAUCAGCCAUAGAUGAAAUAUUUGAAUUGUGAGCUAUCUAAUUCUCUUUGUUCUUACGGAAUUGAUUUGACUUAUCAAGCUUAGCUUGUGGCGUCUAUCCAUUUCUUGUUUUUGAACUUAUCACUUUCAUAGUGUGGCGUUCAUCAUAUACCAAGGUUCCUAUCAUUCUUGAUAGUGGGUCGAGGUCUUUUCUUUGUUGUUUUCCUAUACUGUAUUUCACCUAAGAGCUACUUUGAGUCUCGGGUCAACAACCUCUAUUGUUGGUUCAUUCUCUGCCCUUAGCCAAAUUUUUCCAUUCGUUGAUAAACCCAUUUCCCUUUUAAACGUUUGUUUGUAGCCUUUCUUCUAUUUUGAAACAAACUUAGCCUUACUCAAAUUCACGAUCGAGCAAACACUAACGACUCGAAUCAAUCACAAAAUGAGUUCGUAUCAGUUGCAAUUAAAGAAAGUGGGCUGCUGGUUUCAAGCUUCCCUUCGAGUAUUGCAACAGUGAAUCAUAAAUUCACAUUGCAUGGCCGAUGGAGUCUCCAAAGCUGCUCAUUAAUGCUUCCAAUAAUUUUUCAGCUAAGCAAAGUAAAUUUUAAAUAGCUCAUCAAAUUGUUGGCCGAACUUAGCUUGUCCCUUUCAGUUCCCAACGUAGAUCAUUUCUCUUCCCCAAGUUGGCCUUUGAGCUCCCCAAGAAACCAUAAGAGCUUUCACACAAGUUGGACGAAUUAGGCCAAUCUAAACAAUUCUAUUUAGCCAUUUCAGCUCAACCAUCACCUCAUUAAUUCAAGGCUAUUAGAAGACAUCAAAAGGCUGUCCAUUGACGUCUCCAAAGCUAGGAAUCUUCAAGGAAGCUUCAAGGGACGUUCUAGGAAGCUACAUGAAAUUUUCAAUUCAUUUGUUUUGAAAAUAAGCUGACUUUUUAGCUGCUCAAAUGUCCAUUCGGCUAGCCUAGGAAUUUGACUAUAAAUAGCUUGUUUUGUAUUCGUUUUAGGGUUAGACAAUAUAUUUUUAAAACUUAUAUGAAAUUUGUUUACUUUGUGAGUUUGUGUUCAACUCUCAUUGCUCUCCAAGGACUGGUUAGACUUAUCAAGUAACCCUUGUGGCGUCAACCCAUUUUUCAUUUCGAACUUAUCACUUUGCACCUAAAGUGUGGCAUUCAAGUUAUACCGAGGUUCCUAUCAAUAUUGAUUGACAUAGGGAUUGCGCGCGGACCAAGAUCAAGUUGCCAAGUCACGAGAAACUCCUACAAAAGAUCCUAGACGAACAGAUCUGAAAUCAAAAACAAAGAUUAAGAUUAAACCGAAUCAGAUUUGAAUUUAAAUCCCCAAAUUCAAUUAAAGGAGCAGCAAGAAAUAAAGAAAUAGAAUAGAUGAAUCAAACGAAAUUAGAAGUAUAGAAAGAUUGCGAAUCGGUCAACAAAUUGAUUCGGCCAAGAAUGCCCAAUUUCCAGCAAUCAAUUGAUUCCCAAAUUGAAAGAAAUCCAAUCGGCCAAACCCUAGGAAUUGGGGAUUUUUGGGUUCAAAUGGGUGCUGCCAAUAGGAGAACAACUUAAACGAUGAGAUCUUGAGUUUAAUCAAUGCUGGAAAACAAACAAGAACAGCAAAAUAUUAGAUGAGAAAUCGGCACAAGUAUAAGCAAAGAAAAGUAAAGAAAGAAAUCGAAAACAGCAAGAAUUAAAGGAUAAGUCCUAAAGAUCCUUGAAAUCCCGAAAGAUUUCACAAAUCUCUUCAAACGGCUCUAAUCUCCCCUCCAAAGAAUAUCGAUGGCAAGAAGAAGGUUGAAGAUGGCUCCCACAAUUAAAAGAUUGUUAAAACAACUUCUAAAGAAAACUCAAGAGAGAAUUCUUGGAGAAAACCCCAAAGAAAAUUCUGCACUCAACAAAUCUGAAAUUUGAUAGAAAAAAUAAUAAUAAGAUGUUUACAAAGGGUGGCUGGCCAAUGCUUAUAUAGGCCUCCAACAAAUCCUAAUCUAAUUAGAAAACUUAAAAAAUUUAAACUUAAUUAAAAAAACAAAGGAAAAUUCGGCCUUGCAUCCUAUUGGGCUGUUUUGGGCCGAUUUAACAUGUGAUAUUCCUAAAACUUAAAAAUUAACUUAAACAACUAAAAUGUUUACAAAUUGGGCCCUUUGACAUUUUGGCCUGAUUUUCAACUAAAUAUGUAUGGAUUUCUUAAUUGGGCUGGGAAUUUGCUUAUUGGGCCUCGCCUUUAAGAAUUUGGGCUUGUGAUCCAUCUCCUACCGAAAUUGGGUCGUUGACGCUCGUAACGGAGAUCCAACGCGCUUUGGCUGCAAGAUUCGAUUUCUUGGACCAAUAUUUCCAAGAUUUGAAAUCUUGAUUUUCUUGAUUCUUGAAAUCGCUCCAAACAGCAAAAUUGGGCCAAGAUUUGAUUUCUUGAUUUUCUUGAAAACAAGAAAGUGAAUCUUGAUUUUCUUGAUUUGAGCCCAUCACCUUCUUAAGCUUGGGUUGGGCCUUUGUGACUCGUAUCAUUGAUAGUGGGUCGAGGUUGCGUUUCUAUUACCUACCUUCCUAACCGUUACCAUCUCAACCUAAGCAUUCGUAUAAGUCUCGGGGAUAACACACUUAUAAUGUGUUAGAUCAACUUGAAUACUUGGUUUUAUGUUCACCUAACAAUUUCCAUUCAUUCUAUAACCUCUUUGAACCAAAUUGAGCCUUUAUCUCUUCUUUCUUAACCUAUUUUCGACAAACCUUAAUAUUACUCCAAUUCACGAUCGGGCACAACAAUGACUCAGAUUCAUCAACGAGGCCGGGGUCGCAUCAGAAAGGUUCCCGGCCCAACGAAGAUCUAAACUAUUGCCAAGGGGUGAUGGUCCUUUUCAAGUUUUGGAAAGGAUCAAUGACAACUCUUAUAAACUCGACCUUCCCGGUGAGUAUAGUGUGAGUGCUAGCUUUAAUGUUUCUGACCUAUCUCCUUACGAUGUAGGUGACUGAUACGAUCUCGGUUUAGUAGUUAAGUCCAAGUCGUUUGGUUCCCGAUUGUAAACGAAGAAGUAGAUUAGAUGAGAAGGAGUUAGAAUAUAUUUGUGUACAAAGAAGUAAGAUAAGUUCGUGCAAAGUUGGAUGUGGAUUUGGUUUAAGUCGAAAUGGUAUGAAUAGAAUGGAAGAGUUCGGUUUAGGAUAAUUAAGAAAUGGUAUUAGGUUUUGGUACGUUUUGGUAUUUGGGAAUUGGUACGAAAUGGUAUGGAAUUGGUAUGAAAUGGUAUGGUAUUUGGUACGAAUUGGUAAUGGUUCAAAGAGGUCAAGAAUGAACCAACACUAAAGAAAAGUGUCGACCCGAAACUUAUAGGACCUAAAUGAAUUGGAAAUGGUUGAAAAGGACCUUGACCCGAUACUUAGGAAAGUAUGAACCAAAGGUAUCAAAGGUGAACGCCACACUCGGGUUUAAGGAGUGAUAAGUUCAGGAAAAGACUCGAAAAGACGCCACUAAAAGCUUAGAUAAGUCUUACGAGUCUCGAACAAAGUUUGAGGGAAAAUGCCUCACAAAUUAGGCAGUAAUUCGCUAAUUAAAAUGUCAAAAGUCCCUUACAAAGUGAAAAAUCAGCUAUUUAUAAUAAUCCACUAGACUAGCCGAAUGGUCACUUAAAUUCCUUAAAAAUUAAGCAAAUGAAUUACUUAAAUGGGCUAGCUAGAUUUGGCUGAACUUGGAGCUCCAAUGGUCACCUUCUAGAUAGACAAUUGAACUUGGAGCUUGAGGGAGUAAAUGGCAGCAGCUACAUUCGGUUGAUGUGCUUAAAGAAGCUCAUUUAAUUGGCAACUAUUGCUGAAAAAUUACCAGCAAUUAAGAAGAUGUUGAGUAGUCACUUUGAGUGUGAAAACCAAGUUUUGAAGAGUCUUUGAAUGUGAACACCUUGAUUCGAACAGCCAUGAUGUAUUCAACAGUGUGUAAGCAAUAAAUUCGGCUGAAUGGUCACUUAGGAGACUUCAAACAGCAGCCAACUUCAUUCUCCCAUUCAUGCAUGUGCCGUCCCCUUCAUGUACCCUCUUUUAAUACCUUUCAUGCUCCAAAAACGUUCACGGAUGAUGUACCUGCAGCAACAUUCAUCAAAUAAUUCAAAUUCAUGUUUAGACACAUUAAAUUAACACUAAAAUGCUGCACAUUAAAUUCAGCAGCCUUAGGACAUAAUUAAAACAAGUAAUAAAGUUAACAUAUUAAAAACAAGCUUAAAAACAUAUUUAUAAGCUGUAUAAAUUAAGACAAAAUUAAUAACAUGUCAUAAUAACUAAAAUAUCAUGCAUAAUUAAGUUUGACCAGAUUUAAGACCAAUUUAAUAACGAAAAUUAAUUAAGCUUGUAAAUAACUAAUUUAACUAACUCAAUUAAUUAUUUCAGCUACUAUAUUAUUGACUAAGUUAUUUUGAGCUAAUUUUGAGCUGGUUCAAAUUUAAUGAGCUGAAGUGGAGCUUAAUUCAGCUCGUAACAAAGUACAAGGAAGGCUCAUCGAGUUUGUCCAAGCUUCAUCAAUGCGUCCAACCAAAGUCUCGCCCCAAACUUGAUCUACUAAGGCCGAAACAGCCUCCUUGAAUUGUUUAGCUCGUGAUCAGGUGAUUGGACCUUGAGGCAGCUCCAAAGGCUCCUUGCUCGAGCUAGGUUGGACUUGAGGCGUGGCUGUAUCAUGCUCCUCCUCUUCAAAGCGAUUUGCCCUCAAAUUGGAAUCUGCAUCAAAAGGGGAUAAGUCAGAGGCAUUAAAACUUGCACUUAUGUUAUACUCACCUGGUAGAUCAAGUCGAUAAGAAUUCUCAUUGAUUCGUUCCAAGACUUGAAAAGGGCCAUCACCACGCGGUAGUAGCUUUGACCUUCGUUGGGCGGGAAAACAUUCCUUUCUCAUGUGAACCCAAACCCAAUCACCAGGUUCGAAGAUAAUUCUUUUACGACCCUUGUUCGCUUUCCUAGCAUAGCUUUCGGUUCUUGCUUCAAUGUUGGCUCGAACUUUCCGAUGUAACUCCUUUACAUACUCGGCCUUCUUUUUAGCAUCUGCAUGAAUAAGUUAAUCGUUAGGUAAAGAUACUAAAUCUAAAGGAGUUAACGGAUUAAAUCCAUAAACAAUUUCAAAAGGAGAGUGUUUGGUUGCCGAGUUAACGGAUCGAUUAUACGCAAAUUCUAUAUGCAGCAAACACUCCUCCCACGACUUAAGAUUUUUUCGUAUGAUGGCUCGUAACAAAGUUGAUAGCACUCGGUUGACCACUUCUGAUACGGGGUUGCCGCGGACCAAGAUCAAGUUGCCAAGUCACGAGAAACUCCUACGAAAGAUCCUAGAUGAACAGAUCUGAAAUCAAAAACAAAGAUUAAGAUUAAACCGAAUCAGAUUUGAAUUUAAAUCCCCAAAUUCAAUUAAAGGAGCAGCAAGAAACAAGGAAAUAGAAUAGAUGAAUCAAACGAAAUUGGAAGUAUAGAAAGAUUGUGAAUCGGUCAACAAAUUGAUUCGGCCAAGAAUGCCCAAUUUCCAGCAAUCAAUUGAUUCCCAAAUUGAAAGAUAUCCAAUCGGCCAAACCCUAGGAAUUGAGGAUUUUUGGGUUCGAAUGGGUGCUGCCAAUAGGAGAACAACUUAAACGAUGAAAUCUUGAGUUUAAUCAAUGCUGGAAAACAAACAAGAAUAGCAAAAUAUUAGAUGAGAAAUUGACACAAGUAUAAGCAAAGAAAAGUAAAGAAAGAAAUCGAAAACAGCAAGAAUUAAAGGAUAAGUCCUAAAGAUCCUUGAAAUCCCGAAAGAUUUCACAAAUCUCUUCAAACGGCUCUAAUCUCCCCUCCAAAGAAUAUCGAUGGCAAGAAGAAGGUUGAAGAUGGCUCCCACAAUCAAAAGAUUGUUAAAACAACUUCUAAAGAAAACUCAAGAGAGAAUUCUUGGAGAAAACCCUAAAGAAAAUUCUGCACUCAACAAAUCUAAAAUUUGAUAGAAAAAAUAAUAAUAAGAUGUUUACAAAGGGUGGCUGGCCAAUGCUUAUAUAGGCCUCCAACAAAUCCUAAUCUAAUUAGAAAACUUAAAAAAUUUAAACUUAAUUAAAAAAACAAAGGAAAAUUCGGCCAUGCAUCCUAUUGGGCUGUUUUGGGCCGAAUUUAACAUGUGAUAUUCUAAAACUUAAAAAUUAACUUAAACAACUAAAAUGUUUACAAAUUGGGCCCUUUGACAUUUUGGCCUGAUUUUCAACUAAAUAUGUAUGGAUUUCUUGAUUGGGCUGGGAAUUUUCUUAUUAGGCCUCGCCUUUAAGAAUUUGGGCUUGUUAUCCAUCUCCUACCGAAAUUGGGUCGUUGACGCUCUAAUGGAGAUCCAACGCGCUUUGGCUGCAACAUUCGGUUUCUUGGACCAAGAUUUCCAAGAUUUGAAAUCUUGAUUUUCUUGAUUCUUGAAAUCGCUCCGAACAGCAAAAUUGGGCCAAGAUUCGAUUUCUUGAUUUUCUUGAAAACAAGAAAGUGAAUCUUGAUUUUCUUGAUUUGAGCCCAUCACCUUCUUAAGCUUGGGUUGGGCCUUUGUGACUCGUAUCAACUUCCGUUUGUCCAUCUGUUUGGGGGUGGCAAGUGGUUGAAAACAACAACUUAGUUCCAAGCUUUCCCCAAAGCGAUCUCCAAAAAUGGCUCAAAAACUUCGCAUCUCGAUCAGAAACAAUCGUCCUCGGGAUGCCAUGCAAACGAACAAUUUCCUUAAAGAAAAGAUUAGCAAUGUGAAUGGCAUCAUCAGUUUUUGAACAAGAAAUAAAAUGAGACAUUUUGGAAAAGCGAUCAACAACAACAAAAAUAGAGUCCUUCCCCGUUUUAGUCCUAGGCAAUCCAAGGAAAAAAUCCAUGGAAAUGUCCUCCCAAGGUGCGUCGGGUAUAGGGAGCGGCGUAUACAACCCGUGCGGCUUAAUCUUGGAUUUGGCCUUCUUGCACGUCACACAUCGCGCACACACUCGUUCAACGUCCCUUUUCAUUUUCGGCCAAUAAAAAUGCUCUUGGAGGGUUGCUAAGGUUUUUCCAACGCCAAAAUGGCCCAUAAGGCCUCCGCUAUGCGCCUCGUGUACUAAUAGGUCUCGUAUGGAACUCCGCGGCACACAUAAUUUUCCUUCUCUAAAAAGGAAUCCGUCGCUCUUAUAAAACUUAUCAAUAGCAACACUUUCACAAGCUACAAAUAUUCUCCAAAAUCAUCAUCAGCAGGAUAUAAAUCUUUUAACAAUGCAAAACCAAGCAGUUUAGAGUCCAAAUACGACAAAAGGGUAUACCUUCUUGAAAAAGCAUCAGCUACGAUAUUUUCCUUACCCUUUUUAUACUUAAUGACAUAGGGAAAUGACUCCAAAUACUCUACCCACUUAGCAUGGCGUUUGUUUAAUUUGUGUUGUCCUUUAAUGUGCUUUAACGCUUCAUGAUCCGAAUGGAUCACGAACUCCUUCGGCCACAAAUAGUGUUGCCAAGUCUCGAGAGCGCGGAUAAGUGCAUACAUCUCCUUGUCAUAAACGGGGUAGUUUAGCACGGCACCAUUCAACUUUUCACUAAAGUAAACGAUCGGCCACCCAUCUUGAGUUAACACGGCACCUAUUCCAACACCUGAGGCAUCACACUCAAUUUCAAAUGUUUUAGAAAAAUCAGGCAAUGCUAACAACGGAGCUUUAGUAAGACAAUCUUUAAUAAUAUUAAAAGAAUUUUCUUGCUCUUCGCCCCAAUGAAAAGUCGAAUUCUUCUUGAUAGUGCUUGUCAACGGUGCAGCCAACGUGCUAAAGUUGGGUACAAAUCGCCUAUAGAAACUUGCUAGGCCAUGGAAGCUUCACACUUGGCUUAUGCUCGUCGGUCUCGGCCAUUCUUGAAUCGCCUUAAUCUUUUCGCUAUCUACUUCGAGGCCCUCCGAGCUAACCACGAAACCUAAAAAGAUAACUUUGUCAAAACAAAAUUUACACUUUUUAAGAUUAGCAUACAAAGUCUCUUUUCUAAGAACUUCCAAAACAGCUCGCAAAUGAAUUACAUGCUCAUCCAUUGAUUUGCUAUAAAUGAGGAUAUCAUCAAAAUACACAACGCAAAACUUACCAAUGAAAUUUCGUAAAACAUAGUUCAUAAGUCUCAUAAAAGUGCUAGGGGCGUUGGUUAAGCCGAAUGGCAUUACCAACCAUUCAUACAAACCAUGUUUCAUUUUAAAAGCGGUUUUCCACUCGUCACCUUCACGCAUUCGAAUCUGAUGGUAUCCGCUUUUGAGAUCAAUUUUUGAGAAUAACUUGGCACCACUUAACUUAUCGAGCAUAUCAUCUAAACGCGGUAUGGGAUGCCUAUACUUGAUGGUGAUUUUAUUUACGGCAUGGCAAUCGACGCAUAUGCGCCAUGUUCCGUCCUUCUUUGGUACCAACAAAACCGGUACAGCGCAUGGGCUAAGGCUCUCUCGAAUAUAGCCCUUUUCCAUGAGUUCGUUGAUUUGACGUUGAAGCUCUUUGGUUUCUUCAGGAUUGGUUCGGUAUGCUGGCCGAUUAGGAAUAACAGCUUCGGGCACAAAAUCGAUUUGGUGCUCAAUCCCACGAAGUGGUGGCAAACCACUUGGCACUUCAUCCGAAAAAUGUCUUUGAAAUCCUGCAAGAGAGACAGAACAAAAGAAGGGGGAUCUCCGGAUAAGUCGUUAGUAUUAAACAAAUUUUCCUUAUACAUAAGUACAAGGAUCGAUUGUUUUGCCAAAAACGCUUUUCGAACAUCACUUGCUUUUGCAAAGACAUUCAAUUUUUCACUCACUUUUUCUUUUUCUUCUUUUUCUUUUCUCGCUCUCUUUUCAUUCUCUUUUUUUGAAUUUUCUUUCUUUUUUUCAUUUUUCUUUUUCUCUCAUUUGAUCUACAGAAUUUUUCAACUUAAGUUGAUCCUCAUAAACUUGCUUUGGCAUCAAUGUAGCUAAGGUUACAUUUCUCCCCAGAUGCUUGAAGGAAUAUCGAUUUGAGUAACCAUCGUGCAUAACUCGAUGAUCGAAUUGCCAUGGACGGCCCAAUAACAAGUGACUCGCGUGCAUCGGAACAACAUCGCAAAGCACUUCAUCAGAAUAUUUUCCAAUGGAAAAGGAGACUAGAACUUGCUUUGUCACCUUUAACUCUCCUCCAUCGUUGAGCCAUUGAAGUUUGUACGGAGUUGGAUGCUUGGUGGUUGGUAGAUUUAAUUUUUCCACCAUGAGAGUGCUCGCUAUGUUCGUACAACUUCCUCCAUCGAUGAUGACACUACAUAGCUUUCCUUGUACUUGACAACGAGUAUGGAAGAUGUUCUCUCGUUGUUGUUCAUCGUCGAUGCUUUGGAUGCUUAGACUUCUUUUAACAACGAGGAGUUCUCCAUCAAGAGCGUGUUCAACUUCUUCAUCGUUGUCAGAAACGAUUUCGGGCUCGUCUUCAAGUUCUUCCUCCUCUGAUUCGAUUUCUCCAUCUGCUCGAACCACCAUGACAUUGCGGUUGGGACAUUGACUCGCAAUAUGGCCCCUUCUAAGGCACUUAAAACACUUAAUAUCUCUUGAACGAUUAGUAAAUGAAUCGGUUGCCUUACCUUUGCUCGUAUCGCCCAUAGGUUUGUUUGCUUUGGUAGGCACCAUUGGCUCUUUGGCACGGCUUGGUGGAUUAGUUUUACUCAAACUUUGCCCCCAUCUAGUUGUGCUUGGGGCAGGAAAACUUCGAGUGGUACUCUUUCGCUUGAGAUGCUUCUCCACCUUAAUGGCCAUGUGUACCAUGUCCACUAUCUCAACAUAAUGUUGGAGUUCCACAAUGUUAGCGAUAUCUCGGUUGAGACCAGCAAGGAAUCGCGCCAUUGUUGCUUCACGAUCUUCUUGGACAUCGGCUCGGAUCAUUGCGAUCUCCAUCUCUUUGAAAUAAUCCUCAACACUCUUUGAACCUUGAGUGAGAUUUUGAAGCUUUUGAUAGAGUUCCCAAUGGUAGUAGGAGGGAAUGAAACGACGUCGCAUCACGGCCUUUAUCUCGGCCCAAGUGGAUAUUGGCCGUUCCCCAUUCCUUCUUCGACUCGUAGUGAGUUGAUCCCACCAUAUCAUAGCAUAAUCGGAGAAUUCUAUGGCCGCCAACUUCACCUUUUUGAUCUCGGAAUAGUUGUGACAAUCGAAGACCAAUUCAAUCUUCUUUUCCCACUCCAAGUAAGCUUCCGGAUCAGACUUUCCUUGAAAGGAUGGAAUGGAUAGUUUAAUGUUCCUUAAGUCGUCAUCCAUACGUCUUUGAUUCCGAUUACCUCGAUUCCUUUGACCUCUUCGUCCUUCACUUAUGUUUGAUCCUUGAUCACUUUCAGCUUCAUUCGGAUCAUAUAGGUCGUCUUGAUUGAUUUCCAAUUGGUCUCACCCUCUUUGCGGCCCUUGGGGUGUACGCUCUCGUUGAUUCCCCAAUUCAACUCGAUCCAAUCGUUCGUUAAUAGAUUCUAACUCACCUCAGAUCAUGCGUUGGAUUUCUCGUAACAAGGCUUUUUGAGCCAAAUCCGGCACUCCACCUCCUCCAGGCGCAUUGUUUCGGAUUGGUUGCCUUCCACCUCCUUCCGCUAUAUUUUGUUCAGGACUUUGAGACAUGUAAAUAAAAACCUCACAGCAAAAACCUCACAAAAUUUCUCACAAGAAGAAUAAACACUCCACUCGUGUUUCACUCAAUUUCGGCAUUUAACUUGAUGUAACUCUCGUGCCUUUUACCACUCACUUUCCUCUCGUGAUUUCGUAAGCGACUCGUAGUGACUUAGUCUUAGUUCAGUGGGUCGGCUUCAAAAGGUUCAACAAAGGAUCGAUGUUAGGUUAUGGGUAGGCUAAAAGAAAUAAGAAAGGCUUUUAGGAUAAGUGUAGCGUAGAAGAAAAGAAGAUGAGUAGAAAGAGGUAUUGAACUUAAAAACUCGAAACACAAAAAAAAAAUUUAAUAGCGUGAAAUUUCACUUAGAAGGAUAUAAAAGAGUGUAGAAUGUGAUUUUGGAAAAAAUUUUGCUGAAGUGUCUCCAGACUUUUUUUUUACAGAUCUUUCACGUUCUUUUCGUCCACACCUAGACCGUAUGCAAAUUUUUUUCUUUUCAAUUUUUUUUCCUUUCAAUUUUUUUACGUACCUAUUUCAAAUUGACUUUGAGUGCUCGUACUUCUCAUUUUUACCAGCUCUGAUACCAAAUGAUAUGAUCUCGGUUUAGUAGUUGAGUCCGAGUCGUUUGGUUCCCGAUCGUAAACGAAGAAGUAGAUUAGAUGAGAAGGAGUUAGAAUAUAUUUGUGUACAAAGAAGUAAGAUAAGUUCGUGCAAAGUUGGAUGUGGAUUUGGUUUAAGUCGAAAUGGUAUGAAUAGAAUGGAAGAGUUCGGUUUAGGAUAAUUAAGAAAUGGUAUUAGGUUUUGGUACGUUUUGGUAUUUGGGAAUUGGUACGAAAUGGUAUGGAAUUGGUAUGAAAUGGUAUGGUAUUUGGUACGAAUUGGUAAUGGUUCAAAGAGGUCAAGAAUGAACCAACACUAAAGAAAAGUGUUGACCCGAAACUUAUAGGACCUAAAUGAAUUGGAAAUGGUUGAAAAGGACCUUGACCCGAUACUUAGGAAAGUAUGAACCAAAGGUAUCAAAGGUGAACGCCACACUCGGGUUUAAGGAGUGAUAAGUUCAGAAAAGACUCGGAAAGACGCCACUAAAAGCUUAGAUAAGUCUUACGGGUCUCGAACGAAAUUUGAGAGAAAAUGCCUCACAAAUUUGGCAGCAAUUCGCUAAUUAAAAUGUCAAAAGUCCCUUACAAAGUGAAAAAUCAGCUAUUUAUAAUAAUCCACUAGGCUAGCCGAAUGGUCACUUAAAUUCCUUAAAAAUUAAGCAAAUGAAUUACUUAAAUGGGCUAGCUAGAUUUGGCUGAACUUGGAGCUCCAAUGGUCACCUUCUAGAUGGACAAUUGAACUUGGAGCUUGAGGGAGUAAAUGGCAGCAGCUACAUUCGGUUGAUGUGCUUAAAGGAGCUCAUUUAAUUGGCAACUAUUGCUGAAAAAUUACCAGCAAUUAAGAAGAUGUUGAGUAGUCACUUUGAGUGUGAAAACCAAGUUUUGAAGAGUCUUUGAAUGUGAACACCUUGAUCCAAACAGCCAUGAUGUAUUCAACAGUUUGUAAGCAAUAAAUUCGGCUGAAUGGUCACUUAGGAGACUUCAAACAGCAGCCAACUUCAUUCUCCCAUUCAUGCAUGUGCCGUCCCCUUCAUGUACCCUCUUUUAAUACCUUUCAUGCUCCAAAAACGUUCAUGGAUGAUGUACCUGCAGCAACAUUCAUCAAAUAAUUCAAAUUCAUGUUUAGACACAUUAAAUUAACACUAAAAUGCUGCACAUUAAAUUCGGCAGCCUUAGGACAUAAUUAAAACAAGUAAUAAAGUUAACAUAUUAAAAACAAGCUUAAAAACAUAUUUAUAAGCUAUAUAAAUUAAGACAAAAUUAAUAACAUGUCAUAAUAACUAAAAUAUCAUGCAUAAUUAAGUUUGACCAGAUUUAAGACCAAUUUAAUAACGAAAAUUAAUUAAGCUUGUAAAUAACUAAUUUAACUAACUCAAUUAAUUAUUUCAGCUACUAUAUUAUUGACUAAGUUAUUUUGAGCUAAUUUUGAGCUGGUUCAAAUUUAAUGAGCUGAAGUGGAGCUUAAUUCAGCUCGUAACAAAGUGCAAGGAAGGCUCAUCGAGUUUGUCCAAGCUUCAUCAAUGCGUCCAACCAAAGUCUCGCCCCAAACUUGAUCUACUAAGGUCGAAACAGCCUCUUUGAAUUGUUUAGCUCGUGAUCGGGUGAUUGGACCUUGAGGCAGCUCCAAAGGCUCCUUGCUCGAGCUAGGUUAGACUUGAGGCGUGGCUGUAUCAGUGACGACUUGAGGACAAGUCAUUUCGAAGGGGGAGGGGAUGAUACGACCGUGGCUAAGGAGUCAACUAAGGAUGCCAACGAGCCCUUGGUGCUUCCAACGGGUCCUAUAACCCGUGCUCGAGCUAAAAGAUUUAAGGAAGGAAUUUCGGCAUUCAUCAAUGGAAUUUGGUGCAAUAUCGUGGCUGGACAACUUGAGAUCAAUGAACCGAGCAAACCAUGCUAUAUACUUGAAGUUCAACUAGCUCAAAUUUAGCUCGAGGAGCUCACUUUUAGUUUGUUGAUUUGUUGGAAUAAAUAAAUUUAGUUGCUGAUUAGUUAAAUAAUUAAUUAGUUUAAGGUUAAUUAAAAAUCUGGACAUAUUAAAUAUUGAUGUGUUUUAUUUUUAAUGCAUGUUCUUAAUAUGUCCAAGUUUAUUACAUGAAUUAAUGGUGUCCUAAGUCUAGCCAAAUUAAUGAUUAAAUAAUUAAGUUGUCCAAUUCUUGAACAUGUUUUUAAUUUGUCCUAGGGGCUACCGAAUUUAAUGCAUGGAUUUUUAGUGUUAAUUGCUACCUUAUUAAUGUGUCUAAAUUGCAUUUAAUUUGUUGAAUAAAUUUGCUGCAGGUACACUAAAUUGGGACGUCCUAGGUGCAUGAAAAACUUAAAGAAGAUGUGCUGACUUUUGAAGACUCCAAAGUGACCAUUCAGCUAAAGUUUGCCAAUUUUUCAAGAUGACUAUUCGGCAAUUGUGCUGCUGAUUUCUUUUCCCAAGCUGACUUUUCAGCUAGUUAAAUUCCUUUCACAUGAUGAAGCUAAUCGGUUCUAAGUGUUCACACAUUAGGGACUCUUCAAGACCGAAUGUUCACACAUGGAGGCUGUUCGUUUCAAGGUUUUCACAUUACAAAAAGGCUGAUUAGUAGCUCCUUAAUUGCUGGUCACUUUUCAGCAAUAGUUGCAUUAUAAAUGAGCUCAUUAAGCAUGUUAAAUGAAUCAAGCUGCUGCCAUGCACAUCUUCAAGUUUCCAAGUCCAAUGUUUGCUCUAGAAGCUGCCCAUUCAAGCUCCCAUUCGGCUGAAUCUUAUUCACUAAUUAAAUAGAUUCAUUUACUUAGUUUUUAAGAAUUCAGGUGGCUAUUCGGCUAGCCUAGUCAUUUGCCUAUAAAUUGUGUUGACUUUAUUUUGUAAGGAACUUUUGAACAUUAUCGAAUUGCUGUCAAAUUGUUGAGAGAACUCUUCUCUUAAAUUUUGUCCACAAACUUUGUUGACUUAUCUAAUUAGUUAGUGGCGUCAACCCGUUUUUGUUCAACCGAACUCAUACGAUAUCGUGUGGCGUUCACUCUAAAAUAUACCAAGGUUCCUAUCUAUUAUAGAUUGAUAGAAGAAUGCGCGCGGACCAAGAUCGAGUUGCCAAGUCACGAGAAACUCCUACGAAAGCUCUAAACGAACAGAUCUGAAAUCAAACAAAGAACGAGAUUAAAUCUGGAAAAAUUAAAAUCUGGAAUAAGAACCCUAAAAAAUCAGCAAGAUCUAAUCAAGGAACGAAACACUUAUGAAAGAGGUUUCUUGAAACCAAGAACCCGAAAUUGAUUCCCAAGAAUGAACUCCCACAAGCCGAAUCUGCCAAGAACACCAAAACAGUAAGUAGAUUGAAACAAUCAGAUUUUUAAUUGGAAGAUUAGGGAUUUGGGCGGCAAAAAAAAAAGAAAAGAAAGAAAUAGGUGAAAUUGAACAGUUCAAGAAGUGAAUUUAAGUUGCGAUUCGGUCCAAUUGAACACCCAAUAUGAAUUGCCCAAAUUUCAGCAGCCGAAUUUCACCCAACAAGAAGAAAUAGAAAACGGCAAGAACCCUAAAUUUUGGGGAAUUUUGAGUCGAUUAUAUGUGGCCAAUAAAAGAACCGAUUAAAUGAAGAGUUCUUGGAGUUUGAAUCAAGGCUGAAACAAAAACAAGAAGAGCAAAAUAUUAGAUGAUGAAUCGGCACAAGUAGGAAUAAAGAAACAAAUCGAAAUAGCAAGAAAUAAAGAAAAGUCCUAAGAACCCUUGAAUUCCCGAAAGAAUUCACAAAUCCCUUCAAACGGCUCUAAUCUCCCCUCCAAAGAAUAUCGAUGGCAAGAAGAAGGUUGAAGAUGGCUCCCACAAUCAAAAGAUUGUUAAAACAACUUCUAAAGAAAACUCAAGAGAGAAUUCUUGGAGAAAACCCCAAAGAAAAUUCUGCACUCAACAAAUCUAAAAUUUGAUAGAAAAAAAUAAUAAUAAGAUGUGUUUACAAAGGGUGGCUGGCCAAUGCUUAUAUAGGCCUCCAACAAAUCCUAAUCUCACAAGUAACUAAUAAAAAUUAAACCUAAUUAAUAAAAUAACAAGGUAAAUUCGGUCAUGCACUUAUAUGGGCUGUUUUGGACCGAAUUUUUCAUGUAAUGCUCCUAAAGAUUAAAAAAUUAAAUUAAACAAGUAGGAUGUUUACAAAUUGGGCCCUUUGACAUUUUGGCCUGAUUUUCAACUAAGUAUGAAGAAAUUUCUUGAUUGGGCUGGAUUUUGGUUAUUGGGCCUCGCCUUCAAGAAUUUGGGCUCGUGAUCCAUCUCCUACCAAAAUUGGGUCGUUGACGCUUGUAACGGAGAUCCAAUGCGUUUUGGCUGCAAGAUUUGGUUUCUUGGACCAAGAUUUCCAAGAUUUGAAAUCUUGAUUUUAUUGAUUCUUGAAAUCUCUUCGAACAGAAAAAUUGGGCCAAGAUUCGGUUUCUUGAUUUUCUUGAAAACAAGAAAGUGAAUCUUGAUUUUCUUGUUCUCUCGUGUAUGCAUCUAAGGCCUUGCUAACAAGCUCUUGAAUGGUCCCAUUUAGUUUGGACCGCAUUUGUCGGGCCUUUGAUCUUGUUAUUGGGCCUUGUGCCAAUUUGAGCCCAGCACGUUCUUGAACUUGGAUUGGGCCUUUAUGACUCGUAUCAUUCCCCCCUUCCUCAAAAAGAUUCGUCCUCGAAUCUGAAAAAUCAAAUGGGGACAAGUCAGCCACAUUAAAAGUAGAACUUACAUUGUACUCACCAGGUAGAUCAAUUUUAUAGGCAUUAUCGUUGAUCCGCUCGAGUACUUGGAAAGGCCCAUCGCCCCUUGGGUCCAACUUAGUCUUCCUUUUUGUAGGAAAUCGUUCUUUCCUCAAAUGGACCCAAACCCAAUCUCCGGGUUCUAGUACAACCCGUUUGCGCCCCUUGUUUGCUUUGUUGGUGUUGGCAUCAUUUUUUUGGCUAUGCGCUGUCUAGCCUUCUCAUGUAAGGAUUUCACCAACUCAGCUUUCUGUUCGCCAUCUAAAUUCAUAGCGUGUUCAAGAGGUAAUGGCGCAAGAUCAAGUACUGUUAGUGGGUUAAAACCAUAAACAAGUUCAAAUGGGGAAUAACCAGUUGUAGAAUGAAUAGAUCUAUUAUAUGCAAAUUCAACGAAUGGUAGGCAUUCUUCCCAAUUUCUAAUGUUCUUUCCCACAACAGCUCGUAAUAGAGUCCCUAAGAUUCGAUUAACUACUUCAGUUUGACCAUCAGUUUGGGGGUGACAUGUAGUAGAAUAAAGCAAUUUAGUACCAAGCUUACCCCACAAUACCUUCCAAAAGUGGCUAAGGAAUUUGACAUCUCUAUCAAAAACAAUUGUUUUAGGGAUGCCAUGAAGUCUUACCACUUCUUUAAAGAAUAAGUCUGCCACAUGUGUAGCAUCAUCUGUUUUGUGACAAGGAAUAAAAUGUGACAUCUUUGAUCUCGUUAGUCGGCCUUGUGGCAAUUUGAGCCCAUCACUUUCUUGAACUUGGGUUGGGCCUUUAUGACUCGUAUCAGUCCAACUUGGUUUUUCUUUUAGUAGGAAAUCGUUCUUUCCUCAAAUGGACCCAAACCCAAUCUCUAGGUUCUAGUACAACUCGUUUGCGCCCCUUGUUUGCUUUGUUGGUGUUGGCAUCAUUUGUUUUGGCUAUUCGUUGCCUAGCCUUCUCAUGUAAGGAUUUCACCAACUCGGCUUUCUAUUCGCCAUCUAAAUUAAUUAUGUGUUAAAGAGGUAAUGGCGCAAGAUCAAGUACUGUUAGUGGGUUAAAACCAUAAACAAGUUCAAAUGGAGAAUAACCAGUUGUAGAAUGAAUAGAUCUAUUAUAUGCAAAUUCAACAAAUGGUAGGCAUUCUUCCCAAUUUCUAAUGUUCUUUCCCACAACAGAUAGUAGUAAAGUCCCUAAGAGUCGAUUAACUACUUUAGUUUGUCCAUCAUUUUGGGGGUGACAUGUAGUAGAAUAAAGUAAUUUAGUACCAAGCUUACCCCACAAUACCUUCCAGAAGUGGCUAAGGAAUUUGACAUCUCUAUCAGAAACAAUUGUUUUAGGGAUGCCAUGAAGUCUUACCACCUCUUUAAAGAAUAAGUCUGCCACAUGUGUAGCAUCAUCUGUUUUGUGAUAAGAAAUAAAAUGUGCCAUCUUUGAAAACCUGUCAACAACAACAAAUAUACUAUCUCUUCCUUUUUUUGUUCGAGGCAAACCUAAAAUAAAAUCCAUGGAUAAAUCUACCCAAGGUGAAGUAGGAAUCGGUAGAGGAGUGUAAAGGCCAUGAGGCAUUACCUUAGAUUUUGCUUGUUUGCAUGUAAUACACUUGGAACAUACCUUUUCCACAUCCUUCUUCAUAUGUGGCCAAUGGAAGUGUUCUUGCAAUAUGUCUAGUGUUUUGGCCACUCCAAAAUGUCCCAUUAGUCCCCCACUAUGGGCUUCAUGAAUCAACAAUUCUCUCAUGGAACACUUUGGUAUGCAUAACCUGUUUAAACGAAAAAGAAAGCCAUCUACAAGAUAAAAUUUUUCAAAAGCAGUAUGUCCACAAUUCUUAUAGAUAUGGCUGAAAUCAGUAUCAUCAUCAUAUAACUCUUUAAUAUGUUCAAACCCUAAGACUUUAGCAUUCAAUGUAGUUAUUAAAGUAUAUCGUCUAGACAAAGCAUCUGCGACUACAUUAUCUUUACCUGUUUUAUAUUGAAUCACAUAAGGGAAUGUUUCAAUGAAUUCUACCCAUCGGGCAUGUCUUUUACUCAACUUACCUUGUCCCUUUAACCAUUUAAGAGACUCAUGAUCUGUAUGUAUGACAAACUCAUUAGGCAGCAAAUAAUGUUGCCAUACUUGAAGUGCACGAACUAAUGCCAAUAGUUCUUUGUCAUAAGUCGAGUAAUUUAACUGUGCACCGUUCAAUUUCUCACUAAAAUAAGCAAUAGGUUGCUUAUCUUGCAUUAAAACGGCGCCGAUUCCAAUUCCUGAAGCAUCACACUCAAGUUCAAAAGUGUUAGCAAAAUCAGGUAAUUUAAGCAAAGGAGCAGAACAUAACUUAGCUUUUAGAGUUUGAAAAGCUUUUUCUUGGGUUUCACCCCAUUUGAAACCCACUGAUUUCUUUAUAACUUCAGUCAAUGGGGCAGCAAUAGUAGAGAAAUCUUUCACAAAUCGUCUAUAAAAACUGGCUAAACCAUGGAAAGAUCUCACCUCAGUUACCGAUUUAGGAGUCGGCCACUCCUUAAUUGCCUUAACUUUGUCCUCGUCGACAUGAAUACCUUGAGCACUAACUAUGAAACCUAAGAAUAUUAGUUUAUCACAACAGAAUGUGCAUUUAUCAAGGUUGGCAAAUAAUCUUUUAGUUCGUAGAAUAUCCAAAAUGGUUCGAACAUGGAAAACAUGAUCAUCUAAUGACUUUGAGUAAAUUAAAAUCUCAUCAAAGUAAACUACUACAAAUUUACCCAAAUGUAGCCUCAAAACAUGAUUCAUUAAUCUCAUAAAUGUACUAGGUGCAUUAGUAAGGCCGAAAGGCAUAACUAACCAUUCAUACAAUCCAAAUUUUGUUUUAAAAGCUGUUUUCCAUUCAUCCCCUUCCCUCAUUCGAAUUUGAUGAUAACCGCUUUUUAAAUCAAUUUUUGUAAAUAUUAUUGAACCAUGUAAUUCAUCAAGCAUAUCAUCAAGUCUAGGGAUUGGGUGUCGAUACUUUACCGUUAUCUUGUUGAUUGGGCGACAAUCAACACACAUACGAAACGUACCAUCUUUCUUUGGCACCAAUAAGACAGGAACAGCACAAGGACUUAGGCUCUCACGAAUGUACCCUUUGUUUAGUAAUUCCUCCACUUGCCUUUGCAAUUCCUUUGUCUCCUCAGGAUUGCAUCUAUAGGCUGGUCGAUUUGGGAUUGAAGCUCCGGGUACUAAGUCAAUUUGAUGUUCUAUCCCUCGUAAAGGUGGUAAACCUUUAGGGGCCUCACUAAAAACAUCCUCAUAAUCCUGCAAAAGAGAUUGAAACACACUAGGCAAAUUUUCGUUAAUGUUAGAUAAAGAUAAAUAAUUUUGCCUAAACCUCACAAGGAUACAAGGCUGUUUAUUAAGUAGGGCUCUCUUCACAUCUUUUUUUGUUGCCAAAAGAUUUUUUCCGCUCAUUUUACCACUAGAGGAACCACUCACCUUUGGGCUUUUUAAAUUUUGACUUUUUCCACUACUAUUAGCCUCUUUUCUCUCUGUCUUUUGUACUUGCUCUUUCUCCCUUACCCCCUCACAAAAUUUUAUCAUCCUCAAUUGAUCUUUAUAUACAUCAGUAGGAUUUAAAGGAGCAAAAGUGAAUUUCUUGCCUUUAAAUACAAUGGAGUAUCGAUUAAGUUUACCUUGGUGUGUAACAUCGCGAUCAAAUUGCCAAGGUCGUCCAAGGAGCAAGUGUGCCGCAUGCAUGGGGACUACAUCACACCAUACGUCAUCCUCAUAAUUGUCGAGUUUAAUAGUGACCAAGGACUGUUUCGUAACUUUAACUUCGGAACAUUCAUUAAGUCACUGAAGGUGAUAUGGCUUAGGGUGUUUGGUACAAGGCAACUUUAAAGAAUCCACCAAAUAACUACUCACUACAUUCGAGCAACUACCACUAUCAAUAAUGAGUGAACAUAAGUUACCUUUAAUAAAACACCGAGAAUGGAAAAUAUUGGCCCUUUGGCUAUCAUCAUCUUUCAUCUGAAUGUUAAGAGUUCGACGAACUACAAGGCAUUGAAAAUUA
rnacentral:lncRNA from 1 species